rnacentral:lncRNA from 1 species
GCGACGGUAUCCUCGAGUUGGCCCCACAUGAAGUUGAGGAACAUGUCGAAGCCCUCGGCGACGGCAGCAUCGAUCUGGGCGUUGGCAGUGGCUUUGUUGAUGUAACGGUGAUGGAAUUCGUGUUGGGAGGUGAACAUGGCGGGGUCUGGAAAGCUGGGGUCAUUGAUGGCAAGGGCUUGGGUGGAGUCUGCGUAGGGAGCCUGGAGAACACAGAUCUUCAUGGCGAAUGGUUUGGUACUAAUUCCGCAGCUUGAUCAGAAAUCGCUGAGGAGGAAUACGCCCGUACGAAAGAAGCUGUGCUUGUUCUCGAAACCUGCAGAUGGCCAGGAAAGUCAACAGAAUGUCAUGCCUGCACAUGCAUAUUACAGUCACAUACAAGAGUAUAAAAACUCUCGAACGAACGAAAUUUGUUUUUCCAUGUAGCAGCAGUCUGGCUAGUACCGUGGGCAGAAGAAAACAUGAAAGGCACGAUGAUAACUAUUCACAUCGGAUGGGACGUGACCGUGAAAUCAGACCAGCGUUAGUAGCUCUUAUUACAAACACCUGAAAUUCAUGCACCGAGGAUUGAGUGUCCAGGACUAUGUGACCCCUGAAGCUGGUCUAUCACAACGUGAAUUGUAUCUUCGAAUUGCACCACCUUUGGAAAAUUAUGACCUAGACUCCCUGCACGAAGUAGACUCUGCGAGUAAACAAGAAUAAGACGCGGCUUCUGCAACAAGGAGGCCUUCAGACCUUACCGAAUAUGAAAUUGCGGCAUGCAGGAACGUCCGCCUCUAAAAGAGUAGAAUGGCUGCACGCAUGUCGAGAGGGAUGAGAACGUCAGGUUCCGGCUUAUUUAUCUCCCCCUCUCUCACAUGAACCUCGUGGGGACCUGGCACCAUUUCUUCGCGUCUUUCCAGGAUGGAUUGUCAGUGCCCUCUCAAGUACAAUUGCUGCAUUGACGUCAGGUUCAGUCGUACUUAUCUCCCCCUGUCUCACAUAGACCUCAUCAUUCCUUCACUUGGGCUGUUUUUAACAGAAGCAGCGAUCAUCGUGAAGUUGCUGUUUUCGAUAUUUUUCAGUUUGCUGAUUGAGUGGAGUGAUCUACAACGGAGAGAGAAAAGUAUCUUGAAGGGUAUAUAUUAUUAUAUUCUUAUAUCAUAUCAAGACAGAGUAGGUCAAGGUACUCUCUAUCACUAUCAAUAACAAAUGACCUUAUUCUCUAGAUAAAUCUAGUACAAGCGUUACAUCUCCUAUUCCACAAUAGUACAUAACACUGUCUUUUUGAAGGACUCAACUUGAAACUUUAAUUAAAAAUAAUAAGUUUGUGCAAAGUAAAAAAAAUCAGAAAUUAAAACAACAGUUCAAUAGAUUGGAAUACGUUGUAAAAACUAAAUUGUUAUUACUGGUGUAUCAAAAGAUAUAGAAGCCAUACAAUAAUAAUGAUUGAAAAAAUAAACUGAUGAAAAUGAAGAGGGAUUUAAUGCUGCCAUUGUAAAAUUUACUCGCAAUGUUAAAAGUUUUUGAUAUCUUUUCAUUCCACCUAUAAUGAUUCUUUAAUGAUUCUUGGACGUGAACAAUUUACAGAAGAUAAUUUAAAUAUAGAACAGAAAAUACAGAUAUUUUAGAAAUAAAUAAAUAAAAAACACAUUAACAUAAAAAAAUAAAAUGGAAUAAAAAUUUAAAGUCUCUCUCUCUUUCUCUAUAAAUAUAUAUGUAUAUAUAUAUAUAUAUAUAUAUAUAUAUAAGUAUGUAUAAAAUAUGUACUAUUUUAUUAAGAUACAAAUUUUUUAAAUAUUAAUACAUAUAAAUAUAUUUAUUUUUUAAUGAUAAUAUUAUUAUUAUUAAUUAUUUUUAUUGCUUCAUAAUAUUUAUUAAUCAAGAUAUAUGAAUUUCUAUCACGUUAAAUUUGAAAUACAAUGUUUAUGUUGAAAAUCAACAAGUACUUGCUUAAUUACAACUACAUAGAGAUUAAGCAUAUUAUUUUGCUAAUAGUCAAAACACAGCAAAGAAUUAAAGGAAGUUACUAUGGUAGCACCUAGGAUUUAGUUAGAUGAAGUAAAAAUGGAUAUAAUAUCAAAAGGAUGGAAGUGGCCUCGUUGCUUACCAAACCACCACCUAUAAGUAAAAGGUGUUGGAAGUAAGAAUUAUCUUACUCCACACUUUUGUUUGUAUGCAAACCUUGCUGAUACUAAGUGUUUGUAGCUUUUAGACUUCUUUUCUUCAAUAGGUUAUGGGCCCACUGACAUUUGCUUGAGUGUUUUGAAGUUCUUUGAAGUGGUUGUUGAUGUGUGGAGUAGAUCAAGUUGUUGUUGGUGAUGUUAGGAUUUAGAAGUACCUAACUUUUAGAUUCAGAUCUAGAUCUAGAUCUUAAUUUACUCUUACUUGUAGUUAAGAGCAUUUUAGUAUUGGUGUUUGGUUUUUCACCUUAAGGCAAAGUUAUACAAUACUUUUAUUGUGCUAUUGCUCAAAUAGAUCUUUGGUGGUGUAACUUUGUAGUUUCAUGUUCUAAAGAUGCUGAUUGUGCUUAAAAGGCCUCUUAUGGUGUAUAGAUAUAAUUUGUGAAUAUAAGAGUGAUAUUUGAGUGGCAAGUCAGAUUUGAGACAUUAAGAUAGGUCAUUAGACUUGUGAGAAGCCUUAGAAGUGAAGUUGAAAGUGUUUUUGAGAGUAAGAACACUAGUUUGUUUACAAAGAAGGAUUCUAUGAUUCUAAAGUAGCAAUAUUUUUUGCUGAUUUUGAGAGCAUUAGGACUUCUUCUUUUAAUUUUUUUUUGAUAAAUCUCUCGCUUCGAUAUGGCUUCAAGUGAAGGUAAAGGAUUGAGAGUUAUUGAGAAGUUUAGAGGUGAGAAUUUUUACCAUUGGAAGGUAAAAAUGGAGCUUUUGUUGGCGUCUUUAGAUCUUUAAGAUAUUGUAGAUCAAAGUGAAGAGGCUCUAAGCAUAGAUGCUUAUAUGAAAGAGAAGAAGAAAUUCAAAUGUCAUGAAAAGAAGGUUUUUGGAUUGAUUGCAACCAAUGUGGAUGAAGCUAACUUCUCUCACAUUAUUUCUUGCAAAGAAUUAGCGGAAGCAUGAAAGAUUCUUUGCAACAUCUAUGAGAGCAAGAACUUAUCUAACAUCAUCUAUACAAUGAAGAAGUUCUUCACUUGCAAGAUGGAAGAAAGUGAAGACCUCAUGGCUCAUGUCAAUAAGGUAAAGGUUCUUACAAACAAACUACCAAUUGUUGAUAAGCCUUUAGAAGAAAGUGAUAUUGUCAUGACCUUGUUGAUGACUCUUCCUGAAUCCUACAACUACCUUAUAAUGGCAUUGGAAUUCAUUAAGCUAAAAGAGCUUAUAAUGGAAUAUGUCAUAAUAAGACUUUCUCAUAAAGUAACCAAGAAGAAAGAAAAUGAGCCUCAAAGUAAAGAUUCAAUACUCUAGUCACGUCAAGGCAAGGACAACUAUUCAAAUCAACAAGGUAAUGUCAAAUCUUGCUUCAUUUGUCGCAAAGUAGGCCAUUUUGCUAGAAAUUGCUACAAAGAUAAGAAGAUAGAGAAAGAGAAUGCAAAUAGUAUGCAAGAUGAGUUUGGAGGACAAGAUUAUAUAUUCAAGGCAACAAAUGGGACCUCUAUGGAUGCCAUGUCAAGAUGGAUUGUGGAUUCAGGUUGUUUUAAGUAUAUGACAUCUUAUAAGUAUUCAGUUGACAUUUAUGAUGCUAUUUCAGCAUUAAAGGUGGUGUUGACAGAUAGUGGUACAUGUGAAGGCAUUGGAAUUGCCUCUAUUAUGAUAGAAGUGGUUGUGAAUAGAAAAACCAAUAGGAUCAGAUUCAAAAACGUCUUUCAUGUGCCUAAGAUGAAGCAAAACCUACUUUUGAUGAGUAAACUUGUAAUAGAAGGUUUUAAAGUUCAAUUCGACAUGAAUGGAUGUUUUGUAAAAAUAUUGAGUUGAAUUAAGGUCUUCAAAGGCUUUAAAGAGGGAAAUUUGUACUAUCUCAUUUAUAAGAAGGUGAAUGGAGUGGAGGUAGCUCCAUUUGUAGAGUUUACAUCAAACCAAGACAAGUUGAAAAUAUGGCAUCAUCGCCUUGGCUAUUUGAAUGUGAAGAGCAUGAGAGAGCUCAAGUCUAUGGUAAGUGGCUUAAAUCUUUGCAAUACGAGCCAAAAUAUAAAAGAACUUGUACGUAAAAAAUGCAUACAAGGCAAACAACAAAAGACCUCAUUUCCAAGUAACUUAGCAACAUAUGCUACCACGUUGCUAGAGAUUGUCCAUUCUGAUAUAUGUGGACUUAUGAAGAACACAAAUAAUGGAAGAUCAAAGUAUUUUUUGACUUUUGUUAAUGAUUAUUCAAGAAAGAUUUGAAUUUACAUUCUUAAAUCCAACAGUGAAUGCUUUUAGAGGUUUAAGGAGUUUAAAGCACUUAUUGAAAAAUAAAAUAAAUGUAAGAUCAAGAUGCUACGUACGGACAAUGGAAGUGAGUACAUGUCUAAGUAAUUUGAUAUUUAUUUGAAGAAUGAAAGAAUUUCUAGACAAACUACAACUCCGUACACUUCACAAUAAAAUAGUGUUGCUGAAAGGGCAAAUCAAACUAUUGUAGAGAUGGCAAGGAGCAUGCUUCAUGCUCAACACCUUGGUUAUGAGUUUUGGAUGGAAAUUGUGGUGAAUGCAGUGUAUACAAGAAAUUACUGUCCAACAAGUGCUCUUGUAUCAAUGACACCACAAGAAACUUGGAGUAGAAGACAACCUUGCAUUUUCCAUAUGAGGACCUUUGGUUGCAUUGCAUAUGCAAAAAUACCAAAUUAUAUGAAGUCCAAACUUGAUGCAAAAGGUACAAAGUAUGUGUUUCUUGGUUGUUGUGAAGGUACUAAGGCAUAUAGGCUAAUAUACUUAAAAAACAAGAAGGUCAUCAAAAGUCAUGAUGUUGAUUUUUUGGAGCACAAGAGUGCUUGUAAACACUUGGAGAUGUAUUCAAGUGAGAGUAAUGGUAUGUUUGUGGACACAUCUUUGAAUUCAGCAAAGAAAUAAGAAGAUGAAGACAAUAAAAUUGAUGACGAUGAAAAGACAAAGAAGGUUGAAAAGAUGAAGGCUCCUAUAAUUGCUAGAAAUAGUAAUAAAAGAAAUGAAGAUGUUGAAGAUUAUGAUGAUGAUGAUGAUGAUGAGUACCAACAUUAAGUGAGAAAUGACAAGGUUUAAGAGAGGAGGUUGAAAAAGAACAUAAAAAGCAGCAACGUAAAUCUUCUUCUAUAAAUGAAAGAAAAUAUCUUUUAAGAGAAAAAAGACAAUGUGGUGAAUGGUGGAAGGAUCACAUCUUUCCUCAAGUAGGUGAAGAACAUGCAAAUAUUGUUCUUCUUGUUGAUCAGUUAUCUUUGUAAGAUGCAUUAAAGUCCCAAGAAACAAUUAAGUGAGAGAAGGCUAUGGAAGAAGAGUAUCAAUCUAUUAUGGACAAUGAUACAUGGAAAUUGACACCCCUUUUAGCAAAUCGAUCUAGUAUUGGUUGUAAGUAGGUGUUUAGAACUAAAAAAGAUGCAAAAUGUUCCAUAUAAGGUAACAAUAGGCUCAAUCAUGUAUGCAAUGGUAGCCACAAGAGUAGACCUUGCAUAUGCAGUGAAUGUUGCAAGCCAAUACAUGUCUAAGGCUAGACCAUUGCAUUUGACAACGAUAAAGAAGCUAUUAAGGUACUUAAAAGGUACAAAAGACUUCAAAUUAUGCCUUGGUGGUAAGAACAUUGAUUUGUUAGGUUACUAUGAUGUGAAUUGGACUGUAGAUGCAAAUGAUAGAAGAUCCACAAUAAGAUUUGUCUUCUUCAUUGGAAUAGGAGCUAUUUCAUGGAAUUGCAAGAGACAACCUUCCAUUGCAAGAUCAACAUUGAAGGUAGAGUACAUGGCAGCAAGUCAUUGUGCAAUGGAGGUGUGUUAGAUAAAGCAACUCUUAGAAGACAUUAGACUAGGGCAAUUAGAAGCAACUCUCAUUAUCUAUGACAAUUAAGGAUGUCUUGCAUUUGCCAAGAAUCCAAAAUAAUAUUCAAGGCCCAAGCACAUUGAUGUUCAACAUCGUUUCAUACGAGAGAGGAUUGAAGAUGGAAUAAUAGGUAUGAAGUAUUGUACUACAAAUGACAUGCUUGUUGAUGUGCUUACAAAGGCAUUAAAGGAUAGAUAUCAUGAGUUGAUACAGAGAUUAGGAUUGAAAGCCUUUUGAAUGUUAACAAAGUGGGAGUGUUGAAGAUUAGCAAGUACUUGCUUAGUUACAACCACAUAGAGAUUAAGCAUAAUAUGUUGCUAAUAGUCAAAAGGUAGCAAAGAGUUAAAGGAAGUUACUAUGGUAGCACCUAGGGUUUGGUUGGAUGAAGUAAAAAUGGAUGUAAUAUCAAAAAGAUGGAAGUUGCCUCAUUGGUUAGCAAACCACCACCUAUAAGUAAAAGGUGUUGGAAGUAAGAAUUAUCUUACUCCAUACUUUUGUUUAUGUGCAAACCUUACUUAUGCUAAGUGUUUGUAGCUUUUAGACUUCUUUUCUUCAAUAGUUUAAAAUAUUUUUUUUUAAUCUAAAUGAUGUUUAGCAACAUUCUUUUUCCCACAAAGUAAAAAUACACUCCAUUAGAACAACCUCUUCAAAAACAUUCUUUACAAAGCUAUUUCUGUCUUAGUAAUAUUUACUAAAGAAUGUCAAAAUCAAGUACAAAGUUAGUAUUGAUAAUAAUUUAUCAUAUUUUUAAAUGUUGUUUAUUACAAUUUGUGCAAUUCAAAUUGAACAACAAAUUACAAGAUGCUUAGACACAAAAAAUUGAACAAGAAAACAAAUAAUAAACAAACAUACACAAGAUUGUACAUCUGAAAAUGUGAACUCACCACAUAUCAGAUAAAAAUAAACCUAAUUAUAACAAAGCAAGUUGAACAAAUGUUUAGAAUAACACAUAACAUAAAUGCAAUAAGAAAAGAAUGAAAACUCACAUCUCAAUAGGAACUAGAGAUGGCAUCGAUAUGGAUAAUAGUCUGAACUCUGGCUAGGAAAUUUCAACUGCACUUGAUGCUCGCUGGUGUCCAAAGAAAAAGUAUGGACGUUAACACGCAUGUACAAAAAGAAAGUAAGAAAUUGCAAAAAGUGAAAUAGGAUAAAAAGUUAACAGACAAAGCCAGUCGUGGAAAGAUAAGUGAAUGCGAGGAUAUUGUAGAGCCCUGCGAAGCGAAAGACAGGUUCGUGAGAUAAAUGUUUUGUGGCUCUUUGAGAACCACGCUUCGACAUCUUCGAACUGCGCUGCGUCUUUUGCCCACAAACCCAAAUGUGCGAACCCGUCCAGGAUCUACAGCGAAAAAGAACAAACACGAAAUACUGGAACACUGGGUCAAAAGCACGACCGAAUCCUGCCACAUUUCCACUCCUCGAUGUUUUACCUUGCAUUGCUUCAUGCACCCAUGUGCACUGAUACUUCAAGUUGCCUUUCACUACUGCCUGCUGGUUUACAGGCAAAAUUUUCUAAUCUCCCUCCUUCACAUUAUCGUGUGAAGCUGAGUUGGUGUAACGAAAGCCUUGUAGAGGAAAGCGUUUGGUGUGAACGGGUACUGUGCAAACCUGUUCUUCGUCUGUUUUGAAUCAGAAACGGCACACGUUUGGUCAUUGUACUAGAAAAUUGUUCUUAGAUUUUCUGACUGCAAACAGUACGAUCAUUUUCAACAUACUACGUUAAGCGUUCCAGUGAAAUGCAUACAUCCUUCUGCGGGUGCAAUCGCUACAUGCUGCAUUGUGUGGUUGUUGGUGUUAGCAACAUUCAUCUUGGUGACGCUGUCUACUGGUCACAAAUCCCAGCCGACUCGUUCUGUCUCUCACACAGAAUAUGCAAAGAAGAACACCGCGACAAUUUCCACAAUUCCUGAUUUGGAUCAGAGAAUAUUGCCACAAGAAGCUUGUGUUUUGAAGACAGACGCUUACAUUGUGCGGUUACGAGGUCUAGAUCUUGCUAACUGCGUCCAGUACUUUGAGGCUGGUCGCUGGUCAACGAUUAAAGGGCAAUGUUAACAGAGAGAUCAUUGAGGCUGGGAAACGCUCCAUUGCAGUGAAAUUAGUAUUAGUGAAAGUAACAAUUGUAUUUUAGUAUUAGCCAAGGCCUAAUUAACCCUAUCCCCACCCAGCUAUGUAAUGGUUACUCCCUAUUUGAAUUAUUUCCAUUUAAGUCAGAAAAAACAAUAAAAAAAUAAUAAUAAUAUAAAAGACGAACAAAAAGAAGCUAAUUGGCUAGCUAAAUUCGCUAUGCUAGGUCUCCUACUCGAAAAUCCAAUCAUCCUAACAAAGCGUCUCAAUGUCCACCCAGCAGCCAUGCAAUUCUCCAUAAGAUGGAGUUAAAGAGGCGGGAGUGCCUCGAAUCGGAACAGUACCGUAUCGACGUUGUGGCCAGUGUUCGGCGAGGUCCAUCCGAACUUACGUACUCGCCGACCCACUCUCCACCCUCGCGGAACUCCGAAUCCUUCCACCAGCUGUAAGUGGUUCCUGACCCGCAUGUAAGGCAAUCCGGCUUUGACCAGAAACUCAUUGUACGAGUCCGGAAUCUCGUCCACGGAGAUGGUCACCGACUUUUGCGCCAGUUGGAACAUUCUCACUAGCACUGCACACAUUUCCACCUCGUCAAGGUACUGGAGGGUCGAGACACACACGACGUGGUCGAACGAUGUGGUGGUGUCCAUUAUCACGUCCUGAAGGGGACCAAUCUUCACUUCCUUGUAUGUCUCCGGGAUUGGAUUCUUCUGAACCAUUUGCUCGGAUACGUCAUUGCCCACGAUCGUGCUCAGUUCUGAGCCGUCUUUGCGUUUCCUUUGAUGCUCGUGGAGCAAGCGACCGAACUUUCCCGUGCCGCUGCCCAAUUCAAACACCGUGCCGGAAUAAUCGUAGUCGGCGAUUAGAAAUUCGUAGUUCGAGGCCAUCGUUCCCAAAUAACUUUCGUAGCUCGCCGAGAAGGCGUCGAAUUCCUUGGCCACAGGGGCAACCUUGAUCUUGUGCUUUCCCAGCUGCUGCAGUCUGCUGUUGACAAUCACGUUCACAAGCGCGCGAUGACCGCCGGGAAACGUCUCGCGGAUCACGAUGUCCUCCCACUCGUGCUCCCAGCGGUAGAACACCGCCGGCCCCGGGUUGACCUCCAGGAUGAAGGGCUUACCGUCUGACGCUCGAACCCUAAUAUCCACAUUGCCCCAGCUGUUUCCUGCCAUUUGGUUGACGUGCCAGGCUCUCUCCGCCAGAUUGCGCAACAUGUCGAAGAGCGCUGGGUCUUUGCAACGCACCAGGAGCUCCUCACGCAUCUCCGGGUGGCAUUUGAUGUCGAAAGUCAUGAAAUCAGCGCCGGCGUUGAUUGCGGGGCAUCGGUAGGUAGUCGGGUUUAGCGCCACGGGCGUGUUGCCCAUCUCGAUGAGAAUGACGGAGUAAUCGCGCCCAGGUAUGUACUCUUGGACGACAAUGUCGAUAUCACUCCCGUCGAAAUGAGCAACUCCGUUGCCAUAAGCACUACCGUUAACGUGAUCACUUCCAUCGACAUGGGCGAUUCUAUUGCCGUUGACGCUCCCGUUAUCGUGAUCACUUCCGUUGACAUGGGCACUCCCGUUUCCAUCAGCGCUCCUAUUGCAAUGAUUGGCGAUGGUUGCGGCGGCUUCCUUUCGACCGGGAGCAAGAUACUCAUUGAUGCGGGCCAGCUGCUGAUCAAGUUCGCUUUGGUUCUUGCACACGGACCUUUCGUCGAUAAACAUUGACGCGCACAUCUUCGCCGGUUUCACAAACACCGGGAACUUCAUGUCAGCACCCCUUGCCGGCACUGGCAAUCCAGAUUUCUUGGCCGCGUUGUAGAAGUCGAGCUUCGAUCGUCUCAAGACCUUGCUCUGAUAACCCACAAUUGGAACUCCCAAAGACUCCAAGUAUUCAGUAGCCUCUAUACCCGCGACGGUAUCCUCGAGUUGGCCCCACAUGAAGUUGAGGAACAUGUCGAAGCCCUCGGCGACGGCAGCAUCGAUCUGGGCGUUGGCAGUGGCUUUGUUGAUGUAACGGUGAUGGAAUUCGUGUUGGGAGGUGAACAUGGCGGGGUCUGGAAAGCUGGGGUCAUUGAUGGCAAGGGCUUGGGUGGAGUCUGCGUAGGGAGCCUGGAGAACACAGAUCUUCAUGGUGAAUGGUUUGGUACUAAUUCCGCAGCUUGAUCAGAAAUCGCUGAGGAGGAAUACGCCCGUACGAAAGAAGCUGUGCUUGUUCUCGAAACCGGCAGAUGGCCAGGAAAGUCAACAGAAUGUCAUGCCUGCACAUGCAUAUUACAGUCACAUACAAGAGUAUAAAAACUCUCGAACGAACGAAAUUUGUUUUUCCAUGUAGCAGCAGUCUGGCUAGUACCGUGGGCAGAAGAAAACAUGAAAAGCACGAUGAUAACUAUUCACAUGUGAUGGGAUUUGGCCAUGGAACUAGACCAGCGUCAGAAGCUCUUACCUCAAACACCUGAAGUUAGUGCACCAAGAAUAAAGUGUACAGAAUGUCCAGGUCUGUCUUAUUUAUCUCUCCCUUACUCACGUGAACCUUGUGGAGGCCAGUCACAAGGUUUCUCUGAAUGGCUUUUUGGAAGGCACUGAGACCCUAACCUGGAAAGGUGCGCCAAGUUGUCAUAGUCCCCCCCGAAAGGGCUGUUUUUAACAGAAGCAGCGAUCAUCGUAAAGUUGCUAUUUUCGAUAUUUUCCAGUUGGCUGAUUGAGUGGAGUGAUCUACAACGGAGAGAGAAACGGAUCUGGGUUAAAACUUCGGAUCUAUUGCGACACUUUUCCAAACGGAGAAGAUUGUCCAUUCAGGAAAGUCUCGUAAAAGUACAUAUUGAUGGGGUGAAUUAGGGAAUGAUAACUUCUGCACCAAUCAUUAUUGAACUAGGUUGAACUCUUUAUCAAUUUCUUUCAACAAAAACGGACAAAUCUUGAAGGGUAUAUAUUAUUAUAUUCUUAUAUCUUAUCAAGACAGAGUAGAUCAAGUUACUCUCUAUCACUAUCAAUAACAAAUGACCUUAUUCUCUAGAUAAAUCUAGUACAAGUGUUACGUCUCCUAUUCCAUAAUAGUACAUAAUAUUGUCAUAUAGGAAGGACUUAACUUGAAACUUUAAUUUAAAAUAAUAAGUUUGUGCAAAGUAAAAAAAUCAGAAAUUAGAAACAAAAGUUGAAUAGAUUGGAAUAUGUUGUAAGAACUAAAUUUUUAUUAAUGAUGUAUCAAAAGAUUUAGAAGCAAUAAAAUAAGAAUGAUUGAAAAAAUGAAUUGAUGAAAAUGAAGAUGAAUUUAUUGCUGCCCUUGUAAAAUAAAAAUAGAAUAAAGAUCCACAAUAUCUUGAAAUAUAUAAAUAUAUUUAUGUACAUAUACAUACAUAAGUCUUAUAAAAUAUGUAUUAAUUUAUUAGAAUAAAAAAUGAUUGAAAUAUUAAUAUAUAUAUAUAUAUAUAUAUAUAUAUGAUAAUUUUAUUAACGUUAAUUAUUUUUAUUGGUUCAUAAUGUUUAUUACUCAAGAUUUAUUAUUUUUUUUUCAAGUAAUUUUUUAUAUAUUUUUUUUAAUCUAAAUGUUGUUUAGUAACAUUUUUUUUUCAACCAAGGACAAACACAUUUUCAUAGAUAAAUAUAUUUAAUUUAAUAUUUUUAUUUUUGAUUAAAUUGAAGUAGAUAAAAGUAGAUUUAUUUCAUAUACCUUUUAGGCAAGCUUCUUAGAAGCUUUAUAAACAUUGCUUUAACUUUACAUGUAUUUGUAAUUGAUUGAUAGGUUAGAAACUUGGUCAUUAAAUUAACCAUGUGUUGAUAGCUUAGAAAACAAGCUAAUUUAUGUUGCUAAAUUCAAACCUUGCUUGUAAUAAGGACUAGAAUGACAAAGCUCUUAUCAAUCAAUUUUGAUAUUCAUGAAGGAUAAUGUCAACGAUUUGCUAUUGACAAUGUCUAAGGCAAAAUCUUUGAAAUAAUUAACCACUUUAGCUAUUAUAUAUGACAAUCGAUUAUUUGAAAGAUGUCAAGAAUAAAGAUUUUGUUAGAAAAGAACAAGUUAAAUAAUGACUACACUUCUAAAGUUUUCAAAAACUUAUUUAUCAAGGCUAAGCCAAUGCAAAUCGAUAUAAUACGUUUUAAAUCUCCUAUAGAAUUGAAAAAGACUUAACAAUAUGAUAAAGACUUAUAUUAUGGAGAAGCUAAAUACACUACUUAAUAGUGUCUAAAGAAACAACUCAACUACGAAAUGAAAAGCAUGGUUGCUAAAAAAGACAAUGUGUCGAGAAACAAGUUUUUUCAGCUACAAUAAAAACCGUGUGACUAGAAUCUUGCUUAACUUCUAAUAAAGGUCAUAUUCUCUCCUCAAUCUCCUCACCUUGUUUUACAAUAAAAGUUUAUUUAGGAUAAAAAAAUCACAAAAUCAUAGCUUUGUUAGAUUUAAGAGCCUUAACUUAUUUUAUAUACAAAAAUUUUGUCAAAAAAUAAGAAAUAUUAUUAGUCAAGAAAAUUAAAUCCGUAUAUGUAGAGGUCACAAAUGGUCAUUUUUUUAUCUUUUAGAGAUGUUACACAUGAGACAAUUCCUUUACAUGUAGUAAUUAAAGAUUAUAAAAGUAUAAUAAUAUUAAAUAUAAUAAUAUUUUUCUUUAAUUUGGUUAUUUUAGUAUUAUCUUAAUUAAAAAAGUAUAAUCCUCAAAUAGAUUAUAUUUUUCAUAACUUUAUUUUUUUGGAUAAUUUAAUCUAAAAUUCCAUUAGUCAAAUAAAAAUACAUAAGUAUAAUACACUCAAAUCUAUCACGGAUGUACAAAUUUACCCUGAUAAUUAUUUAGAUAAUAAAAAUAAGUCAAUGUAAGUAAAAGUAGAUAAAUAGGAUAAUUUCUUGUGGAAAGCUUCCUAGAAGCUUCAUAGACACUGCUUUGUAUUUAUAUAUGUCUAUCAGUAAUUGAUAGGUUGAAACUUGGUGAAUAAUGAUGCGACAUGUCGACAUUUUGACUACUUGUAUAUUUUGACUACUUGUAUAUAGUACAAGUUGGAUAUAUGGGGCACACCUAAGAAACUUGUCUUAUAAAUUAGACAUGUAUCUUGCAAGUUGGACACAUAUUAGAGGUCCUAUAGUAUGUUGUCACGUAGUUCUUACUUAAGUAGUAUAUAUAGAGGCAAGAGUAAGGCCUUCUUUACUCUUGUCGGCUCUUUUCUUAUUUUUAGUCUAGUUUCAAGAGUCUUAUGUUUUCUAGUCUUUGACAAUAGCCAUUCUAGUUCUUCCUUGAAUAUACAUACUUUCUUCUAUUUUGUCAUUUUUCUUUUGACACAAAUUCCACGAGUUUAUGCAUCUUUUUCUAGUUUGUGUCCUUGACAGAUUGAUAAGAGUAUACAUACAAUAUCAAAGCUUUGUCCUUUCUUGAUUAAGAGUGGUUUACUGCUUUGUCUUAAUAAGACAUAAGCAUAUUAGAAGUUACGGAUUACCUUCUUUUAAAUUGAUAUUACUUCUAAAAAUUCCUUUUCUUAAUUCUUAAAUAUUGUAUUCUGUGAAAAUAGACACCUUUCUUUGUAUUAUGCUAGUAUGGCAAAGCUUACUGAAAUGAAGAGUAUAAUGGCUCAAAUGCAAGAGCAAAUGAGAGAGUUAAUGCUUGCAAUAUAUUAACUCAAUCUACCACCACAAGGAGCAACAAGAUUAUCAAAGAAUGAAGAUAUAGAAAUGAUUGGAGUUGCAUCAACAUCUACACCAAGCCAUACUACUAUUCCUACAAUGGAACAUCGUUCAAGUUUCAAGAAACCAAAAAUUGUAUUGCUUGAGAAGUUUGAUCAUACAAGAUCUAAGUUUCAAAGAUUUAUCAAUCAAGUACAACUGGUGAUUUAACUACAACUUCAAAGUUAUUCAAUUCAAGGAUCACAAGUCAGGUUUAUUAAUAGACUACUUUUAGGUUUUACUUUAUCAUGGUUUUUAUCAUUUCUUAAAUGACAUGAUCAAAUAUUGGAUAAUUUGAAAGCAUUCUUGGCAAAGUUUUGAUCUUUGUAUGGAAAAUAUGAUGCAAUCCAUGUUACAACCAACAAGAUUUAUAUCUUGCAAUAAGACAAUUCAUUAGUGAUAUUGUAUGCAUCACAAUUUUAACAAUUGGCAACAAAUAUCUAGUGGGAUGAUGUAACACUCAUCAGCCAAUUUUUCUAUGCAUUACAAGAUGAAGUAAAUAAAUUGAUGUUUAAUUUACUUGAUCCUCAAACAUUGAGUAAGUAAUUGACUUUGCUGUGAAAUGUGAUAAUCAACUUCUUGAGUUUUGAUGUAAAAAUUACACAAAGGAACUUCAACGUUAUUAUAAUUCAAUGACAAUACCAACAACUUUUCAAUCUAAACAUUUGGAAGUAGAAGAUAGGUAAAUUGAUGGAGUACAUUUUAAACCUCUCAUUGAAUAAGAAAAGAUUCAUUGUCAUCAAGAAGGACUAUGUUUAUAUUGUGGAGAAGCUAAGCACACUCCUCAAUAUUAUCCAAAGAAACGAUAUAACUACAAAAUGAGGAGUACUAUUGUCAAAGAUGAAAACAUGUGAAAAAAUAAAUUUGUCCAGAUACAAUAGGAAUUGUGCGAUUGGAAUCUUAUACCAUUUCUAAUUAAGGUCAUAUUCUCUCCUCGGAACCCUCUCCUUAUAUUAUAAUAGAUAUGUGUUUAGGAUCUAAUAAUCACAAAGCCUCUGCCUUAAUAGAUUUAGAAGCCUCAAAUUAUUUUUUAGAUGAAGAAUUUAUUAAAAGUCAUACUAUAUAAUUAAUACAAAAAAUUAAAUCCCUACACAUAGAAGUCAUAAACGAUUGUCCGUUAUCUUCUAAAGAUAUUACUCAUGAAACACUUCCAAUACAUGUAGUAAUAAAUGGUCAUAAUAGUUGCAUAAUUUUUAAUAUAAUUAGAUCUCCCUUUAAUCUAGUCAUUUUAGUUUUAUCAUGGCUAAAAAAAUAUAAUCUUGUAAUAGAUUGGAUUUCUUGUAAACUUGACUUUUCUUCAAACAUCAUUAAGAGUUUUUCUAAUCUAGUAGAAAGCCAUGAGUCUAAUGUAGCCAAACCUAUACUUGUAGAUGCAAAAGCUUUUUUGCAUGCUAUAAAAAAGGAUUGUCUUUUUUUAUUUGUGCUACACCUAUUUUAAAUGAUGGAAAGAUUUGAAGUGAAAUUCCUAGUCAAUAUCAAUACUUUUAAGAUGUUUUUGAAAAAAAGAAUGCAAAUAUUUUUCCAAAGCAUCAUCCAUAUGAUUUUUCAAUCGAUCUUAAAGAAGGAACUUAGCCACUAUUUGGUCCAAUCUAUAGUUUAUCACAAAAUGAGUUGGCUAAACUCAAGAAGUACAUUGAUGAGCACUUGGCCAAAAAUUCAACUAUCACUAAGAUGAUUGGAAAAUUCUUUUGCCAUUGGCAAAGUUUGCUUAUAAUAAUUUGGUACAUUUUUCUACUCAACAAACACCUUUUUUUGCCAAUUAUGAUUAUCAUCCAGGAUUUGAUACUUUUAACUUUUCAAAGGUUGAUAAUCCUAUGGCGGAAGAUGUGGCAAAUCUAUUGUCAGAGCUACAUGUAACAAUGAAGGCAUAAUUAAAAGAAGCUUAAGAAUGACAAAAAGAUAACAUAGAUGUUUAUUAUAAGGAACAAUCUCAAUUCUAUAUAGAAAAUAAUAUAUGGUUACUUCAUAAUAUUAAAACUAUUUUUCCUUGUGACAAGCUAGAUUAUCAUAGACUUGGACCAUUUCAUAUUUAUGAAUAAAUCAAUCUAGUUGCUUAUCAAUUAUACCUAUCAGAGUUUGAAAAUCCAUCAUGUAUUCCAUAUAUAUUUACUUGAACCAUACAAGAUAAUGGAUAUAUGAGAAAGGAGACAAAUGCCACCAUCUCUUAUAGAAAUAGACGAUAAUAAAGAAUUUGAAGUAGAAGAAGUCUUAGAUUCGAGGUAGUACCAAAAUAGGUAAGAAUAUGUCAUACAUUGGCAUGGAUAUGACAUUAAUGAAUGUAUAAGGAAGCAAUCUAGGAAUGUAGUAAAUACAUCAGCCAAAAUUAAAGCUUUUUAUCAAUGACAUCUAUCUAAAUCAAGAUGAAGAGUUAAAAAAUUCUUUGCUAUAAAGUAAAACAAAUCCAAUAGAGAUUUCAUUCUAUCUUGUAUCAUUAUUUCUUUAGAUUUUUUUAGUACUUAGGAGAUGGAGAACCAAGAUUUAAUUCAAGAGCUAUCAAUUGUUGAGUAAUCAAAUUAAACAUUAUAACUAUUAAAACCUUUGAGAUGACAAAAUUGACAUAAAGAUCCUCAAGAAUGAUAUGUUCUUUCUUAAAUAGAUGGCAAGAUACAACGCAUUUGGUACCAUGACCUUGGAAGUGACUCCUAGUAUUUAGUGAUACUUUUGGAGGUAGAACCCACUUAUAAUGGUAUUACUAAUAUUUUAUUUGAAGGAAGUUAUGAAGGCUUCAAUAAGGAUCAAAUAUCAGGGUAGUCUUAUUGCCUUGGUAUGGGACAUUAUUGAUGGUUGAAGGAACAUAUCAACUACUUUUAAAAGAAAACAAAGAUCAAUAUAUGUAGCAAAUACAAUUUGGUGCAUCUUAGACUUCUUCAACAUGUAAUCACCGCUUCUUGUAGAACUCGUUCCUAGAAAAGAGGAUAAUGUCACAAACAUACAUAUUUAUCUUAAUAAUUAUCUAGAUAAUAAUAAUAGGUAGAAAUAAGUCAAAAUAAAAAUAUGAUAAUAUCUUGUAGAAAGCUUUAUAGAUGCUUCACAGAUGCUGCUUUGCCUUUAUAUAUGUCUAUAGGUGAUUGGUAGGUUAAAAACUUGGCCAACAAGGAGGCCAUGUUGUUGAGAUAGAGAGAAUUUGCUUCAAGAAAGCAGUGGGCUCCUGACUGCUACUAAUUGCUCAAUGAAGUCUUGAGAUAAGAAGGACCAAGUUUGCAUAUAUAUAUAUAUAUAUAUAUAUAUAUAUAUAUAUAUGACACUUUUAGAUACUAUUAUACCAAAAAUAUAAGUCUUAAGUUUCCAAAAAUAUCCAAAAUAUGAUAAAACCUAUAAAUCCUUAAAUAUCCUUAAAGGGUAUUAUUUGUGAUUUCAAAAAACUCAUAUCUUUCACACACACUAUUUUAUACACACUCUCAAAUUAUAUGAAGAGUUGAUGUACUUUUAACAACUACCACAACAAAUUUCAAUUACAAAUAUCCUUAUGGGAUAUUAUUUGUGAACUUCAAAAAUUCAUAUCUUUUAAUUGGACUAUUCAAACACAUUCAAAUUCUAUAUAAAGUAUUGGUAUACUUUUAACAACUACCAUAACAAAUUUCAACUAUAAAUUCAUUGCGGAUCUUAUGAUAUCACCAAAACCCUAAUAGUAGCUUCAAAUCCUAAUUUUUAUAUACCUACAUGUAAUUUUUUUCAUAUCUCACAAAUUAAACAAUCAAAUGCUACAAAUUACAUAUAUAUAUAUAUAUAUAUAUAUAUAUAUAUAUAUAUAUAUAUAUAUAUAUAGCUUUUUAAGACAAUAUUAUAUCUUCUUUUAAAGGUUUGAGCUAAAAAUUCAUCUAAAAACUUAAGAUAUGGCUCCAACCAUUACUAUGAACAAAUCACUUACUUAUUGCCUUUUAUUUGGAUGCACUGAUUUUAAUUCUCUAUAACUUCUUCAUCUGAACUCUAAAUUCAUAAAGUAAUAUAUAAAAAGUUUAGUCGAGGAAUAGCUCUCUUCAAUCCUAAUCAUUGAUUCUUUGUUUCUUUCCAUAAACAUAUGUUAUGCCCCAAAGAGUGAUAAUAGGUAUAAAAUUGACACCUUAACUUUGAGCGCCAAUAACUCUUUUAUAAAAACUCCAAAUCACACAAAAUUUACAUCCAAUCCAUAUCCAAAAACUUUAAAUUUUUGAUCCUAGCCUCCAAAUUUCGAAUGACCUUAAAAGAGAAAUCUUAAUCCCUAAUAAGGCCUCAGGUAGCCUCGUUGAAGUCCAUUGGGUAUGGCCAUCGAUCAAUAGGAAUGAAGAACUCCAUUCUUUGCCUUCAUCCACCCAUGUCUUGCUUUCAUCCUUCUCAAUAACCCUCAUACUAGUUAAGAUUUUCUUCUUUAGGUUCCAAUCUCUUCUCAAGGCUUCAUACUAAAUAUUUAAGUCCUAUAAUUUUUUUAAAUGCUAUAAUCAAAAUAAAUAAAACUUAAAAUAAUAUUUUUUAUAUCUAAUCUCUUUAAAUUAAUCUAUUAAUUAUUAUAAUAUACACCAAGACUUAUUAACAUAUUAUAUAUUCUAAUUUAUUUUUACACAUUAUAAGCAAUUACAAUAUGACAGCGUGUUGACAUGUCAACCUCUUGUAGUAUAAGUUGGACAUAUGGGACACACCUAAGAAACUUGCCUUAUAAAAUUAGACAUGUGCCUUACAAGUUGGAUACAUAUUAGAGGUCUUAAAGCAUGUCGCCAUGUAGUUCUUACUUAAGUAGUAUAUAUAGAAGCAAGAACGAGGCCUUCCUCACUCUUGUCAACACUUUUUUUGCUUUUAGUCUAGUUUCAAGAGUCUUAUAUUUUCUAGUCUUUGGAAAUAGCCAUUCCAACUCUUCUUUGAAUAUACAUACUUUCUUCUAUUUUGUUACUUUUCUUUUGACACAAAUUCUAUGAGUUUAUGCAUCUUCCUCCAAUUUGUGUCCUUCCCAAAAUCCUUAUUAGUAGCUGCAAGAGCUUUGAUGCAUGCCACAAAAAAAGAAUCAUCUUUUGUUAUAAAUGCCACGCCUAUUUUUGAUGGUGGAAAGAUGUCAAAUAGUAUUUUAAACUAAUAUCAAGAUUUUUUGGAUGUAUUUUGAAGAAAAGAAUGCAGAUAUUCUUUCAGAGUAUCAUCCUUAUGAUUGUUCCAUCAAUUCUUAAGAUGAGAAGGCAUGACAAAUUCUAUCUAGUAGAUUUUUAUUUGAAAAAAAUUUCAACAGUUGAGAUUAAUUAUGAGAUCUACAACAAAGAACUUCUAACAAUCUUAGAUUCAUUUUAAGAAUGGCAUAAUUAUCCAAAAAGUACCUCGAGUCCAAUAAAUAUAUAUAUAUAUAAAUCACAAAAACCUCAAAUACUUCAUGUGGGCACGUAUUUUGAAUUGUCGCCAAGUUUAUUGGUAUAUAAUUAUGUGUUAUUUAAACUUAUUAUGAAUUUUUAGCAGUCACAUAUUUUGGAUACAACAAGACUUUGGAGCUAAUAUCGAGAGAUUUUUGAUCGCCUUAAAUAUAGAAGAUAGUAAAAGACUUUGUACAAUCAUAUAAUAUUUGUUCAAGAUUCAAAACUCGUCAUUAUUGACCUAUGGACUUCUUCAUCCAUUAUAUAUUCCAAAACAACAAUAUUUAUCCAUUUCUAUGGAUUUUAUCAAAGAUCUUUCAAUCUUAGGUUUGUAUAAUUUUAUAUUCAUGAUAGUAGAUUGUUUUACUAAGAUAGCAUAUUCUAUACUAUGUACAAAAUAUAUCAGAGAUGAAGAAAUACUAAUCUUUUUCUUAAAAAUAUCUAUUGCUAUUAUGGAUUGCUUAAAGAUAUUAUAUCAGAUAGAGGGACUUAGUUUAUAUCAAGAUUUUAGAGAAUCCUUUUUAAGAUUUUAAAGGUGGAUAUAAAGCUCUCUUUUGCUUUGUAUCCUUAAAGAAACGUGCCUAAUCUAUCUCAAGUAUCCAAGUCUCCUUCUAAUUUACAACAACAUAAAACCUCAUGACAAAGUAGGACAAACUGGUUCAAAAUAAAAUUGAAUAGGAUUAAAUAAAAUGAGACACAAAAUACAAAAUUAAACAACCAAAAUUAGAAUAAAAUAAAACAAAAUUAAAUAGGACUAAACAAAAUGAGAUACAAUAGACAAAAUUGAGCAACCAAAAUUAAAACAAAAUAGAAUAAAAUAGAACAAAAUAUGAAGAUAUAAAAUUCAAUUUUAUUAAGAGAAAGGUUCAAAGCCAUACAUGAUCAAAUAUCCCAAAAGGCCCUAGACAGUUCUAUUUAUAUUUUAUUCUACCACCGUGGAUUUUUUAGAAUAUUCUUAGAUAAUGGACCCUGCUAAGAUAAUUGCUUUAAAUUCUUUCUAAAAGGUUUUAUGAUAGGCUCCACUUAGAUAACUGCCCUAAGCCUUUUUUUAAAAGUUCCAUCGUAGGCUCUACUUAAAAAUCUAUCUUAAAUUCUUUCUAGAAUGUUCUCUAAUAGAUCUUAUCUAGUCCACUAACCUAACUCUAAUUCUAAAAAACUUCCAUAACUUCUCUAUGAUAAUUCUAACUAUCUAUUUCUAUGUAUCAAUAAUACAAAUAUCUUAUCUAUACCUUGUCACAAUUAAUCUCCCUCUAUUAAUAUCAAACAUCUUUAUUUUGCUUCCAAUAUCAGUGAUUAUCUGCAUACUACUUUUGUGAAUUCUAUGUGGUAAAGAGGUGAUGUUGUGCCUCUUGUAAGGCCGUUGUAAGCCAUUGUAUACAUUCCUUUGUUGUCAAAUUAUUGGUGUCGAUUGGACGAUAGAGAGUUGUUAGCAAAAUUGGAUACUAAUUGGUGUUAAAGAAAAAUGGUGAAUGACCACUACUUGUUUGAAUACUAUCAUUGUAAGCAAACUUUAAGGGCAUUAAGUAUUCAUCUUAAUUAUUAUAAUGAACCACCUUAAAUACUCAAAAUAUAUCUUCCAAGGUCCAAUUUAUAUACUUUAUUUAUCCAUCUAUUUAAAAAUAGAAGGUUGUAGACAUAGUAAUUCGUGUACUAAGUAGCUUGAACAAGUCUUGUCAAAAAUUUCUUGUAAAGCAUGGAUCUCAAUCUAAAAUGAUCUGUUCUAGAGUCUUUGCUCACCUUAAAUAUCCAGAUAUUGAGAUAUCAUGUCUCUCUAAAAGUAUACAUGUCCGGAGUAUAGCAUUAUUGGAUACAUAAAUCUACUUCUUCAAAUAGAACAAGCCAUUAUUAAGACUAUAAUUUGAUACUAUAUAUUAUCUAUCUUCAAUCGAUCGCUAAUCACCUUGAAAUAAGCAUCCCAAUGUGUAGCUUUCUUCUAUUCUGUCUCUUUGGUUAGAUUUGAAAUGACAUUACUAAUCGUAGAAACUUCUGUCUAUUUUCUUGAUUUGUCUUUCAUGUAUGGUCUUUACAAUAAGUUGUCUGGCAUAGUAUAUUGUUGGCCUUGCUUAUAUUCAAGUUACAUAUCAAAAAGCUACAACUAUUCUUCUCAAUAAUGAUAUUGUGAUUUUAUAUUUUUUAAAUAAAAAUUAUAUAUUAAAGAUCAUUGAUCAAUCCGAACAACCACAUGCUUCUCCAAUAAAUAGUGUCGCCACAUCUUUGUGGCAUGUACAAUUGCUAAUUGGUUUUGAUCAUAUAAAGAGUAAUUUUGCUUUGUUCUUUUGAGCUUAGUAGUUCAAAUGCCACAUAUUGAAGGCUCUUACUAAAGUUUAGUUAAAAGACCACUCUAAUAGCAAAGUUGGAAGCAUCAAUGUGAAGUGUACAAAGUAGGUUGCGAUCAUAUGAUUGCAAUAUUAGAAUAAUAAUGAGUGCUUCUUUCAACAUAUCAAAGGUACUUUGCUACUCGAGUUUCUAUUCAAAUAGGACACCCUUCUCCAAUAGGUUUGUUAAUGAGAGAGCAAUAUGUACAAAUCUCUAAAUAAAACGAUGAUAAUAUCUAGCAAGGCUUAAAAAUGAGUGGCCUUUAGAAGCAUCUUUGGAGGUUUGUCAAUCUUCUACCACUUUCACCUUAUCUUGUUCUAUAUGUAUGUCUUUGGAAGACACCACAUGCCUCAAAAAUAUCACUUUUGACUUCCAAAGUUUAUAUUUUGAUUGCUUAUAAUAGAAACUUAAAUCUUCUAGCCAAUGUAAUACUUUUUAUAGAUGUUACUCAUACUCUUCAAGGAUUUUAUUAUAUACAAAGAUAUCAUCAAUAAAAACAACUACAUACUUAUCUAAAAGGUCCCAAAAUAAUCUAUUUAUAUGACCUAUGAAAGAAGCUGGAGCAUAUUUGAAGCCAAAAUGUAAAACCACCCAUUCAAAAUGUCUAUAGUGCGUACAAAAUUUUAUCAUUUUUACAUCUUUUUUUGUAAUAAAAGUUUGCCAAUAACUGCUUCAAAGAUUUAAUUUAUUAAAGAUGGUCACAACUUAAAGUUGAUUAAGAAGAUCAUCCACAUGCGAAAGUAGAUAUGCAUUCUCAAUAGUCUAUUUAUUGAGACAUCAAUAAUUGAUGCAAAGGCAAAAUCCACCAUCCUUCUAAGGUGCAAAGAAUGUAGGUGCUCCUCAGGGUGAUGUCCUUUUUCAAAUGAGGUCUUUUUUCAAGAAUUUAUUUAAUGUCUUCUACAAUUCUUUAAGUUCUUUUGGUGUUAGGCAAUAAAUUUUUCAACUUAUUAGUUUGGCUUCAAGCAAUAAUUCUAUUUGAAAGGAAGCACUUCAAUCAAGAUGCAUGCCACUAGGUAGGUCAGUUGAAAAGAUAUUUUGAUAUUCCCGUAUGAGUUGAUAAGUCCAUUCUAUUCCUUCGGCUUUUUCUUCUACCAUUGAUGCAAGAUUUAAAACCACCAUAUAUAUAUAUAUAUAUAUAUAUAUAUAUAUAUAUAUAUAUAUAUAUAUAUAUAUAUCGAUUACUUAUGUUGUAUUUGUUUAUUUAUAAAGGUCAUUUCUACAAAUAAGACUUGAGUUGUAGAUUAUCUUUCUUCUUUACUUGAUGCAGAGGUAUAAAGAAUUACUUUGCAUCUACCAUAUUUAAAGGAGAUUGUCUUUACUAUCAAACCAAAUUACUUAUUUUUCAUCUUUAGCCAUGGUAUACCAAAAAUAAUAUCAUAUCUUAGAUUUAUCACCUUGAAUUUCUCUCUUAAGACAAAGGUGUCAGUCAAACUCAAGGUUUUUAUUUCACAUGUCUCACUCAAUACUUUUUCUCAGUCAUCUGCAAGGUAUAUACUUCCUCCCUUUAUUUCCAUAGUUUUAAUUCCAAGUCAGUUGGUAAUUUCACUUCAAAUGUAAUUUUUUAUAGAGCUACAAUCUACAAGUAUUUAAAAUGGUUGUCUUCUUAGUAGUGCCAUUAGAUGUACCAGUUGACUCUUUUUAUAGUUUUUUGAGGCCAUACUAUUUAUCUUUGAGAGAUAGUAGCUAUUCCUACUACUAGCCUUUGGUGUCUUUACUGGGAAGCCUUAUUUUCUUACUUUGUCUCAUUAUUAACUUAGUGAAUUUUGAAACUAUGAACCAGCCUUAUUUUGCUGGUACUUGAAUUUUGAUAUUUUAGACAACCUUCAAUGUGAUGGCUUGGCUCUUGACAACUUUCAAUGUAAUGUCUUGGCUAACUUUACAUAAUCUCCAUUAAUAUUGGUUAUUAUAUCAUGGUAUUAGAUAGUUACAUAAGACUUUGUACUAUAGGUCAUGCUCUAUGAUUUUUGAAAUUUAAAGCAUUGAUCCUCUUUGUCAUCCAAAUUUUCUUUUUGAACAUUUAUUGAUUCUUUAAUUUUACCUCUCGUUAAACUCCACAUUUCAAACCUUGUAGAAAUCGAUCCAUCAUCUCCCUUCCAAAACAUUGUCAAUUAGGAGACAUAUAGACUUAAAUCUAUAGAUAUAAUCUUUGACUAAUCUAGAUUGUAUAAGACUUACCAACUAAUCAUGUGCUAUCUUUUCUACAUUGAUGGGCCAAAAAGUGAUUCCUAAACUUGGUCUCAAAUUCCUCCCGAUCAUAAAAUCUACCUUGAACUCCCUAUCUUUGAAUUCAAUGUGGCUACUAAAUAGCUAUUGCAUCUUUCAAAUACUUGGCUGCAUACAUAAUUCAUUUAGUGGUCUUUUCCUCAAAUAGUUGGAGGUAUUGUUGUAUAUUGAAGAGCCAUUAAUUGUCUUCUCUUAGAUGCUUCUAUUUACUCUUACAAAGUAGCUAUUUAGUCUAAGAGGUGUUGUAUUUGAGCCUCCAUUUGAGAUUGCUUUGCUAUAUCUCUUAUGUUGUAAUUUGUCCACUGGACUCCAUUAUUGUAAUGCCUUUCUACCUUACAAUUGAUUUCUUAAGAGUAUCUCGUAGUUGCUUUAAUAUAGUACCUAGUGUGACUACAACAAUUGAUCUUGGACUAGAUGAUAUCUAUUGACAUACUAUGAAAGAAUAAUCUAACACUCCCUUUGAUAUCAAUAAAACAGGACCGGUCUAUCUCAAAUAUCAAAGAUCCCUUCUAAUCUACAUCAACAUGAAACCUCAUCUUAAGAUAAGAUAAAAUAGACCAAAAUAAAAUUGAAUAAAACUAAAUAAAAUAGAAUACGAAAGACAAAACUAAGCAACCAAAAUUAGAACAAAAUUAUAUAAAAUAUGAAGAUACAAAAUCAAAUUAUAUUAAGAAAAAAGGUCCAAAGCCACACCUGACUAGAUGUCAUGAAAGGCCUUGGCUAAUCCUAUUUAUAUUUUGUUCUAUCAUCCUAGAAUUUUUAUAAUAUUUUAAGAUAAUGGAUAUUAUUUAAAUAAUUAUUGUCGUUAGAUGUUUUACUUACUCCAAACUAAUUUAAUGGGAAUAAACCCAUAUAGGAGGAUUUGAACAUGAGAAAUGACUAGUUGCUUAAGCGUUCACAUUAGGGUCACACAAUCAACUACCUCCUAAACGUAUUGUCUCUAUUUUCUAUAUCCAAAUACACAAGGAUACUAUAAUCUCUUCCUUCACUCAAUCGGUCUCUUCCUUACAGUAAUUUAGUCAUACUAAUAACUGCUAUUUCCACCAAUAUAUAUUCACUCUCAUAAUCUCCAAUCAUAAUACUACACCAUCACCACUUUCAGCACACAAUUACCUUCAUUCUAAUUCUUGGAAAUCCUCACUUUGAACUAUUACUCUCAAUGUUGUGCUUCUCACACCCACACACUGAUUUUUUUUGCUAAACUACAAUCAGAUUUCACCAUUCAGUCUUUCUUUUUUUUAUUCAAUAAUAUAUAAUCCCAAUCACACUUUUAUUUCAUAAUUCACUUGACAAUAUUCAGAAACUCUCAAUCCUCUUAUUCAAAGAAAACAAACAAAAAAAAAGAGGUAGCACUAAGCUUACCUCGGCUCACAACUAUCACAGUAAUGGCAUUUACUUCCUCUCUCUCAUCCUCUUUAUGCUACUCCAAGAUACCCACUGCUACAUUUGUAAUGAAAACUACUUCUGCUAACUAUUCAUCUAUUUUACUUGCUGAACUACCUUUUCAGUAGUCAUCUAUUCGUGUUUAUACUAUACACUAGAUAUCUACAUUCUUAAAAUAACUACUUAUUGUACAUAGCUCCAUUCCUAACUGUGCAGCAUUCUUACAAACAUCUAAGAUAAAGCCAAACUGGUUACUCCCCAGCAUUACCCAAACUUCGAUCCACUGAUUCUAAUUUCAAAGGUCCAUCGUCAUCCUCCUCAUCUCAUACAUUUAUUGGUACUAUGUUCAAUCUGGCGGUUAAAUCUUCAUUAAGUGCACCCAAUUCUCGUGCUUGGCUUUCCAAUUGCACAAUUUAGGUAUCCUUUGCUUAUAAUUGAUGUUGCUGUUGCUUCACCUUUUUUUUCAAUUCACCAAUUGAACCUUCUAUUGGAGUAGAUAUUUGUGACUACCGAACGCAGGUCAAUUCUUCCUCCAAUUUCUUUGCAACCUCCUUCAGAGUGUUGAUUUUCUCUUACAUCUCCUUUGUUUUCACUCUGUAUUGGUCACUCAUCACCCUCUUUUUUUGCUCCAAAGUCGCCAUCUUCUUUUGGUUCAAUUCCAAUUGAUGCUGCAUUUUUUCAAAUUCCAGUUUUGCUUUAUUGCGAGACUUGAAGAGUUCUUAUUUCUGGGGCUCCAUUCCUUGGUAAAGGCAUUUUUUUUUUUUUUUUCCCAUGCUUGCUAUUUUACUCCAAAUGCAUGCUUCAGAUUCAAAUUGACUUCUUUGGUGGCCUUGAUCACCCGAUCUAGUUCCAACAAUCUUUGACAUUGUUCUACCAUUUCCUUCUUACACAUGAGCAAUUGUUGCUUUAAUGCUACAUUGUCAACCAAUUCGUUUAUCUUCAACUAUAAUUGAAAUAUUUGUGCCAAUAAUAUCUCCUUUAAACUAUUACCCUCCAAUGUUCGAUAUUGGAUAUCUACUAGCCUCCUGUCCCUCUACCACAUUGAGAUUUUUCUUGCGGUUUCGUCUCUCUGAGCUAUUGGAGCCCGCUCUUGAAUACUGCUUGGUUCCCUUGCCUGCUGGCUGCUUUCUCUCGGUACCCAUGGAAGUGCCAAUAGAUUGCUCCUCGGUUGUGCUAGUGCUAGAUCUGCUAUCAUCUUUCUUUUCUCCGGCAACGAUUGAUUCAUCUCAUAUACAAUUGCAGAAUGUAUAUAAUUGGAACACAGAAGCGUCACAAUUCUCUUUGUCUUGUGCUUUACUCCCAACUCUGCGUGAAUUCUGGUGGCCACGUACACUGCCCAAUUGAACACCAUAUCUUAGAAGGAUCCUAUUGUCACAAAUAAUAAUCUUUUGGCCAUUUAUAUUGUAUGUCUAUUUAAUUCCAACCAUUUCUAAAUGAAGCGCAUCAACUCCAUCAAUUUUGGUGUAAGUGCCUCCGUCGUCCGCCAUCCUUGAUUUGUUUUUAGCAACGUCAUACCUCCUUUGAAGUAAUUCCCUAGAUUGAAGUGUGAAGACUCAUCGAUUCUAAUCGUGAGCUCUCCUAUUGGUAGAUGCAAUGCCUUAUACAAGAUAUUCUCAUCAAUUCCAAUAGUCCUCUCUUUUACGACACUCGAACCAUCCUCAGGGUCAUAGUUUGUCAAGUAUUCUUCUAAUAAUUUUAUAUCGAUUGAUAGUAAAUUAUCGAUCGCUCGUAGAAAGAGAUAUAACUAUACACUUCUAAAGUCCUUCUGCCGUGCUGCGUUCCAACAAAUUUCUAACCUCAUGAGUUCCAUGUUUGUGAGAAUACAUGAAGAAAGAUCAUCCAUAUUACUCUUCAACUUCAUUCUUCUACCAUCUUUUUCCUUCUCCAAGACUCUCUUCACUUUCUCCCUCGACAUUAUGAAACAUUACGUAACACUCCUCACUCCCACUACUACUGCGUUUAAGAUUAUCGUUGUAGACUUUCUACUACCGAAACUAUGCUCCAAAAAAAAAAACUCUAAACAAAAUACUAAAAAUAGCCAACAUGGAGUGUCCUUUUCUUUACUGUUUAUUCGGUUAUGGAUCAAGAAUCCGUAAUCUUGAUUAUUGAUGUUCUAAUCCACUAAUCAACCACCACCUUUCGCCUCUCAUUAUACACUUGUGAUUGCGGCAAGUCAUCAUGAACGGGUACGUCUUUCUCUCUUCCAAUAUUGAUAAAUUCACCCCCAAAUUUAUAUAUAAUACAUGCAUAGUCAUUUGCCAUUGAUACGGGUUGUGAAUUGGUUUCCUAUGAAGUCUUCUAAUUGGACUAAACCAUUGGGAAAGCCUUCCAAUAUGCAAUAGGGUCCAUGCCACCAAAUUUAAAAUUUUCUUAGAAAAUUGUAAAAAUGGCUGUCAUACAACAUUACUAGAUCACUUGGCAUAAAUACUUUUGGGUGGAGUUUACUAUCGUAAUAGCUCUUCUAGUGGCACUGAAUAGCUUCCAUUGUCACCAAAGCUGAAGCCCUAAUCUCAUCUAAUUUUUCCAAAUCUAUCAACCGAUAUUCGAGAGAUUUAGUGUCACCCAAUCGUUCAUCCAAUGUAAUUCAUAAACUUUGAACCUCCAAUUCUAUUGGUAAUAAUGCCUCUUAUCCAUAUACCAAUUGAAAAGGUGUAGAAUUAGUUGACACUUUAUACGCAGUACAAUAGGCCCACAAUGCAGUAAAUAAUUUACUGUUGCAAUUGAUUUCCACUCCUGAAAUAGCCUUGGUUAAGAUCUUAUAUAGGAUACUAUCGAUCUUUUCUGUCUAUCCAUUGGCUUGUGGAUGAUAAGGCGUGGUUUUGCGAUGCUUGAUCUCAUACUUUGCUGUUAAUGCUGCAAUUGUUGCAUUAAUAAAAUGUGUUCCGUGAUCACUUACCAAUUCUUUCGGACAACCAAAACGAGUGAUAAUACUCUCAUAUAAAAAUAUUGCUAUGAUCAUGGCAUUAUCAAUUUUUGUUGUCAUUGCCUCCGCUCAUUUGGUGGCAUAAUCGGUGGCUACUAGAAUAUAUCGUUUCUGUCCAUUUUGAGAAGCAGGUGCAAUUGGUCCUACAAAAUCAAUACCCCAUUUUUCGAAUAGUGCCUGUGCCAAAAUUGGUACCAAUGGCAUUGCAAAAGUUUCAGUAGGGCGAUCAAUUCAUUGGCAAGGAUCACAACCACGAACAUAUUGGUGUGCAUCUAAAAACAUUGUUGGCAAGCAAUAUCCAGCCAUUAAAGCUUUACGCGCGGUACUAUUACCUGCAAAAUGUCCUCCACAGUUGUUCACGUGAUAUCCUUUUAAUAUUGUACAAACUUUACUUUGAAAUGUGCAAUGGCAUAAAAUUCCAUCCCGUCCUUGUAUGUACAAGGCAUCACCAAUCAUGGUAUAUGAUGCACUUUUUAAAAUCAAACGCUUCUUUAAUUUUUCACGAUAGGAUGUCAAAAAAGUCUAAAACGUGAGAUAUUGGAUCAAUUCACCAUAUUCGGAUGUAAUGACAUCUAUAGCGAAUAAUUGUGCAUUUGAAAGGGCAUCGUUUAUCGACUCAUUACCUAGUAUAUUAGAUAAGCAGGACAAGUAAUCCGCAUUAGCAUGUUUCUUGUGAGGUCAAACAUUAAUCAUAAAGUUAAAUUUCUAGAGAAGUAACACCCAUCGAGAAAUUUGGCUACUCAAUUGAGGUUUAUAUAUCAUAUAUUUAAGUGCAUCAUGAUCAACGUGAAAUACAAAUGGAUAUCCGAGUAGAUAGUGGUAGAAUUUUUGUACAAAGUAUAUCAUUUCGAGGGCUUCUCGUUUGAUAGUAUUAUAGUUGUGUUAUGCCAUAACCAAUUGUCGACUCUCAAAAUAUAUUGGAUGAUCACGAUUAUUUUUAUCUUUCAGACUCAAUAUCGAUCCAAUCGCUACAUUGGAUGUAUCGACAUAAACCUGAAAUGGUUUUGUCCAGUACGGGGCAAUCAGUAUUGGUACAAAUACCAAUUUUUGUUUUAACACCUCAAAGGCAACACUACAUUCUGCCAUCCAAAUGGGGCUAGAUCCAUCCAAUUGUGGUUUCUUUAGCAGAUUUGUCAAUGGCUGACAUAGCACCACAAAUGAAUGAAUGAGUCGCCAAUAAUAAUUAACAUGGCCUACAAAAUUACGUACUUCUAAUACCGUUUUUGGCUUUGAUAAAGCCAAUAUUCAAGUUACUUUAUCGGGGUCUGUAGCAAUACCACGUCUAAAAACUAUGUGUUUCAAGAAUUUUUUCGAGGGUAUCCCAAAUUAACACUUCUCCAAAUUCAAAGAUAUCUCAUACUUAUCGCAUUAGUCCAGACAUUGUUCUAAAGAGUCCAAAUGAUCAACUAUAGUACUGAACCUGCAAAAAUCAUCUAAAAAUAUUUCCAUUGACACUCGUAAGUAAUCUUGAAAUGUUUGUGUCAUAACCCGUUGGAAUGUAGCUACUACGUUGUAUAAUUCAAAUAGCAUCACUUUGUAAGCAAAUGUGCCCCAAUCUGUUGUAAAUGUAGACUAGGACUGGUCUUCCUUGGCAAUUUUGACUUGAUUGUAACCUGAAAAACCAUCCAAAAAUGAAUAACAUUCGUGUCUAGCUAUGGCAUCCAAUAUACUGUCUGUAAAAGGUAGAAGAAAGUAGUCCUUCUUGGUAGCAGCAUUGAAUUUCCAAAAGUCUUAACAGAUUUUGAUUUUGCCAUUUUUUUGAGGUACCAUUAUCAUUGAUAAAACUCAUUUGCUAUACGAAACUGGAUAAAUAAAAGCCACGCGUAAUAGUUUAUCCAAUUCUUCUUUCACCAUCAAAGAAUAUUUUGGGUUGAGACGGUGCUAUCUUUCACAAACUGGUGUAACAUCCUUAACCAAUGUAAUGCGAUGUUCACACAUGCUUACUGGAAUACCUUUCAAAACUACAUACGUCCAAGCAAACGACGAUUUAUGCUUGAGAAAGAAUUCUUUCCACUUAUUCAACUCAUUACCUUGAAUACCCUCAUACAUCUUUACAUUCUGGGGCGCUUCAUGGAUUCCUAAGUUUAUAACCUAGAAAGUAGAUUCCUCCCUAGCUUCUGAUUUAAAAUUACCUGCUGACCCAUCAUCUUGCGUAGGAGACAACAACUGCUCGUGGCUCAUUUCUGACCUCAUUCCACUCACAUAAUUGACAACAUAUCUGAUCAUCCAUUCGGUAAAAACAUCAUCCGAGUUAGUUGCAUCCUCCUGAUGUAGUAGAUAUUUGUUGGGAUCUCCACAUUGGUAAACUCCUCUCUUUGCUAUUGAAGUAUUUUGUCCUCCCUUAAAUUGCGGUGAACCUAUAGCAUCAUUGUCUUCCUCAAUCGAUUGACUCUUGUUGUUUGAUGUAAACUCUGAUUCUGGUACUUGAGAUUCUCUGUGAUAUUGUACCGAGUAUAUCUGUAGAACAAUCUGGUUACGACCUUUUCUAAUUAUCAAGGUGCCUCGGCCCCAAUCGUUCUUAGCUUUGGCUUGAUAAAGCUAAGGUCUGCCCAAUAAAAUUGGAUAUGAUAAUGUAGAACUCUGUAAUUGGAAUACAAUAUAAUCAAUUUUGUAUAUCAAUCCCAUGAUUACAGUGGCAAUAUUGCGUAAAAUUUCUAUUGGCUUUAUCCAAUUAUGAUCUGCCAUUUGGAAGACCAAUGUCGUAGGUAGCAAUUGCUUUAGAUCCAAAUCCUCUAUUAUAUCCGCCUUCAUUAAAUUCACAUUCGAGCCACCAUCGACUUGUACCUCUAGAAUUAAAACUCCAUCGAUUGAUAUAUCGAUUGUUGAUGCUCCCGGAUUUGGAUUUAAGCUAACUUCAUGAAUUUUUCUAGUGCAGGGAUCUUCAUCAUAUUAACACUGAGUUCAAUGUAGAUCAACAUUCUGGUGCUAUAGCCAAAAGUUGCUUCAUUGUAAUUGAAGGUUGAAUAACAUCCAAAUCUUUUAGAAUGUCAUAGGGUUCCAUAUUGAGAGUAAUUCCUCAUACUCUUUUGCGUUUCAUUGGUUUUGAUUUUACUCCGUUUGGCAACAAUUCUUUCUUGACAAUUGGAAUUGCCGCUAGUAACUUUGCCAACAUUUCUAGUACUAAAGAUUCUUUUAAUGCAUAAGAUCUUUUAUUGGGCUGUACAAGUUUUAGUACUUGGUUAGUUGGGAUCGUUCUUGAUGGUCCCGGUAAAUUGGCACGUGGAACCGAAUUGAGUUCCUCGGUCUGCUGAGGUCUCAAUAUUGGGGUACGUCCCAAUACUGAUAUUGGUUCAUUUAGCCCCAUAGAUGAUGCUACUUGCUCUUCUGUGAUUGGUUCAUCUAGAUCCUGAAUUAAAUUCUUGUCUUUUUGUUGGCCUUUGAUAAGCAUUGCGUUCACUACCUCGACACAAUGUAUUUGUGAAUCCCGUUGAACAGGAUUUUUGUCCUCCGCUGGUUGGCUUAUUUGCAUGUGUUGGUCCCGAUUACUAUAAUUAAAGGACGCAUUGCACUACUGAGAAGUGUGAUCGGACUGCUUAUAAUUUCCACAUACUGAAACAUAGUCAUCACUUGCUCUUGGAUUAGGACAUUUACUUGUAUAAUAUCUGACUUGUCUGCAACGAUAGCAAUAAAGUGGUCUCUUGCCUGCUCUUUCAAGGAUAUUGGGUGUCUCUAUUAGUAUAUAAUGGCUAGGUCUGUUCCAUGUUGAAUGAGUAAAGGACCCUGGUUGAUCCAUUGGUACUGUAGGCUCUGACAUUAGCUUCGUCAUGGAUAGAUAUUAGUGGUAUCUUUGUUGGUUCAUCACCAAUCCAUGAGUAUUGGAUAUACCUUCUUGAUAAAAUUCAGAGUUUAAGAAAUUGGAAUCAUUUUUAUUUUGUUUAUUCGUUCGAUUUCCAUUCCAGCCAAAUCUAUUAUUCGUUUGUACUUGAUUGACAUUCUACGAAGUUGGUUGAAUCAUGGUCUGUUUUCCAACUUAUUGUUGCUUCCUUAAAUUCCAACAAUUGAUAGUCGUAUGCUUAUCUCCACAAAAUGUACAUUGGACCGUCAUUUGGGGUGGUGAAGAACAUUCAGUUUUCAAAUGACCUUAUCCUCUAUAAUUGUUGCACCAAACAUUGGGUUGCAUAUUGGUUGGUUUAUGCCGUUUUUCUUUAACCUUAGCCAGAUUCACAGCCAAUUCAUCCAUUUUUUUCAUCAAUGAUAACAGUAAUGAUUCAUAGGGAUCUCUUGAUACUAAUUCAUUUGACAAUUCUUUUAUAGGUAUUGGUUUUUGAUAUGCGGAAUAAGGCGCAUACGAGUGUGAUGAUGAAGGUGGUACAACUGACAAUAGGAUGACGUUCUCUAUUUCCUAUGGAAUUGUACCAUAAUCAUUCCUUCCCAAAUAACUGUCUGAUGCGUCAUUCCAAUUAUUCAUUUAAUAACCUCCUUGAGAUGGAAUCAUCGUGGCUCCUACGAUUAAGUUCUUAUCAUAGUGACAUUCCUUCCAUACUUUUGCUCGAUCAAGAGAUGAUGCAAUGGUGGCUAAUUGGGCCUCCUUUACAAACAUCUUCAACUUUGGUGGGUGUAGUCCAUUAACCAAUAUGGACAACACAAACGAUUUUGGGAUUUGGAUAUUUGGCCAUUUUCAAAGUAUAUUUCCUACACGACUAUAAUAUGACUGUAUCGCUUUCUCUGGUACCAUUUUGUUGUUCAUUAAUUUUUUUCUAAGACGUUCUUUAAAACCAAUUGAUCGAAAAUGGACUAAAAAUGUAUUUUUUAAUGCCUCCUAAUUGAUAAAUUGUCCCACAUGUUCGUGGUUAUAUCACUCAAACUCUGUAUCUUUCAAUGUUGUUGGCAGCCAUCUCAGCCAAAUACCUUUUGUUUUUCUAUUAUUGGCUACACACGCUGUCAAGAAUUGAGACAAAUAUUGAUCUGGGUCCGCACUUGAUAAUCCCUAAAAAGUAGAUAGUGGCAUGACACUAGUCAUACGAUCGCUUACUACACCCAUUUGAAUUGCAAUCGAAAUGACUGGUGCUCCUAAUGCCAUUGAAUUUCUUGUUUCACUAAACUUUGUUUUAAAAUAAACACUACUUUUCUUUAUUCUAAUUUUUGAGCUCUCAGUGCUCCUCGAUUUACUAUUAUUUUCUGCAAAUAGUUUUAUUGAUUGAAUUACGGGUGAAAAUAUCAGAUUUUGAAAUAUAAUAUAUUUAUCUUUAUUGGCAACCAAUUUGUGCCAAUCUUAAGAGUCACUAUUGCUCGGUUCGACAGUACCCACCAUUGAAAAAAUACCCAAUGGAGUACCCAACUCUUCUACGCCUUCUUCACUUUCAGUUAACAGCCUCAAGAUUUCUGCUGGAAUGUCAACAAAGUUUUCCGCGAGUGUUCUUGGCAGUUUUUUAAAUAAUACAUACGACUAUAGAAUUAACAGUUUGUCCGAUUUUCUGAUAUGUUCGAAUGCACCAACAAGCUUGCAACCACAGUUUAAUCCAACUCUAUUGAUGCUUUCUUUUAAAAUUACAUUCUUUCUCCUCUCUAAGCAAGUUCCUUCCUUGUGCUCUUUCCUCCCUUUCUCUCAAUUGAUGUAUUUUCUUCGAUGCAAAGCUGUCGUUCUUAUUAACCAUAAUCUUGUUUCAAACACUACUAAAAUCGUCUUCUAUUAUUCAUUUUAUCACACAUUCAGUAAUUAAUUCCUAACACUCAAAGCCAUUAUCAAUCCUGGCAACGGCGCCAAAAUCUGGUUAGACGUUUUACUUAUUUCAAACUAAUCUAAUGGAAAUAAAUCAGUAUAGGAGGAUUCAAACACGGAGAAUGACUAGUUGCUUAAGCGUUCACGUUAGGGUCACACAAUCAACAACCUCUUGAAUGUAUUGUCUCUAUUUUUUAUAUUCAAAUACACAAGGAUACUAUAAUCUCUUCCUUCACUCAAUUGGUCUCUUCUUUACAGUAAUUUAGUCAUACUAAUAACUGCUAUUUCCACCAAUAUAUAUUCACUCUCAUAAUCUCCAAUCAUAAUACUGCACCAUCACCACUUUCAGAUCACAAUUACCUUCAUUCUAAUUCUUGGAAAUCCUCACUUCGAACUGUCACUGUCAAUGUUGUGCUUCUUACAUCCUCACACUGAUUCUUUCAACUAAACUACAAUCAGAUUUCAGCAUUCAAUCUUUCAUUCAAUAACAUAUAAUCCCAAUCACACUUUCAUUUCAUAAUUCACUUGACAAUAUUCAGAAACUCUCAAUCCUCUUAUUCAAAGAAAACAAACAAAAAAAAAGAGGUAGCACCAAGCUUACCUCGGCUCACAACUAUCACAGUAAUGGCAUUUACUUCUUCUCUCUCAUCCUCCUUAUGCUACUCCAAGAUAUCCACUGCUACAUCUAUGAUGAAAACUACUUCUGCUAACUAUUCAUCUAUUUUACUUGCUGAACUAUCUUUUCAGCAGUCAUCUAUUCGUGUUUAUACCAUACACUAGGUAUCUACAUUCUAAAAAUAAUUACUUAUUCUACAUUCACCUUAAACUUCUUCUAGAAGGUUCUAUAGUAGAUUCCACCUAGAUAAUCACCUUAAAUUCUUUCUAAAAUAUUCCUUCGUAAAUCCUAUAUAGUCCACUAACCUAACUCCAAUUCUAAAAACUUCCAUAAUUUUUUUAACAUGGUUCUAACUAUUUAUCUCUAUGUAUCAAUAAUACAAAUAUCUUAUUCAUAUCUUGUGACACUCAAACUGAUGGAUAAACAAAUUGAAUGAAUCAAGUUCUGAAGCAGAAUUUAAGUUAUACCAUUAAUUAUCAUCAAAAUGAUUGGAUAACUCUUUUGCCAUUGAGAGAGUUUGCAUAUAAUAAUUUAGUUCACUCUUCUACUCAAUAAAUAUUUUUCUUUUUCAAUUACGGUUAUCAUCUAUAAUUUGAAACUUAUGACUUUUCAAAAGUUAAUAAUCUUAUAGAUGAUGAUUUUGCAAAUUGUUUGUCGGAGUUACAUGCAAUAAUGAAGGUGCAGUUAAAGGAAGUUCAAAAAUGACAAAAGUUUAAUGUGGAUGUCUAUUACAAAGAACAACCAUAAUUCAAUGUGAGUGAUAAGGUAUGAUUAUUCUAUCAUAAUAUCAAGACUACUUGCCCUUGUAAGAAGUUGCACUACUAUAGGCUUGAACCUUUUUCAAUUUGUGAAUAAGUCAAUCUUAUUGCUUAUUAAUUUCACCUAUUGGAGAUUAUGAAGAUCCACAAGGUAUUUUAAAUGUCUCUUCUUCAGUCAUAUAAGACAUUAAAUAUCUUCAAAAGAAGUCAAAUGCCACAUCCUUCUAUAAAAGUAAAUAAUAAUUAAAAAUUUGAAGUGGAAGAAGUCUUAGAUUCAAGGUAGUAUCAAAAUAAGUUAAAAUAUCUUAUUCAUUAGCACAUAUAUGAUAUAAGUGAAUGUACAUGGGAGCUAGUAAAGAAUCUUGCAAAUUCAAUAAAGAGAAUUGAGGCUUUUUAUUGAUGACGUCAAUCAAAAUCAAAAUAAAGCAUAGCAAAUCUUCACUAAAAAAGAAAUAAGAUCCAAAGAAGAUAGCAAUCUACCUUCUACAAUUAUUUGUAGCUUCUAUAUAUUUAUAACCAUAUAAAAAUAGAGAAUCAUUAAUCAACAUAUUCAACUCAAGAACUUUCAUUUAUUAACUUACUAAACAAGACAUUGUGAUUGUCACAAAUUCUAAGAUGAUAUAAUUAAGAUAAAGAUCCUUAAGAAUGAUAUGUCUUAUCUUGAAUCAAUGGCAAAAUAAAACAUAUUUGAUAUCAUGACCUUAGAAGAGACUCUCGAUGUAUGGUGAUUUAAUUAAAAGUAUGAACAAUUUCUUAACAAUAUUCAAAUAAUUUAUUUGAAAAAAGUUAUAAAGGCCUCAACAACAAUGACUAACAAGAUAAUCUUUUCACCUUAGUAUGGAAUAUUAUCGAUCGUUGAGAGGAAAUAUCAACCAUCUUCAAAGAAAAUAAAGAUUAGAAUAUGUGGCAAAUACAAUUUUCUACAUCUUAGAUUUCUUCAAAAUUAGACAUCUUCUCUUUUUUAAGUGCUAUCAAGGUAGAACUUGCUAAAAUGAAGUAUACAAUGGCACAAAUGCAAGAGCAAUUGAGGGAGUUAAUGCUUGCGAUGCAUCAACUCAAUUUAUCACUAUAAGAAGCAACAAGAUUGGCAAGAAGUGAAGAUAUAGAAAUGAUUGGAGUUGCUUCAACAUCUGCACCAAAUCAUGUCUCUUCUCUUAUGGUGGAACACCCUUUUAGUGUUAGAAAACCAAGAAUUGUCCUUCCUAAGAAUUUUGAUGGCACCAAAUCAAAGUUUAGAAGAUUUAUCAAUCAAGUACAACUUACGAUUGAACUUCAACUCCAAAGCUAUCCAACUCAAAGAUUGAUAGUUAGAUUCUUUAGUAUUCUUCUUUUUGGUUGAGCAUUAUCAUGGUUUUCAUCUUUUCUUGAACGAUGAGAUCCAAUAUUGAAUAAUCUAGAGGCUUUUUUGGUAGAGUUUUGAUCCAUGUAUGGAGAACAUGAUGCAAUUUGUAUUGCAACCAAUAAGAUCCAUACUUUGCUAUAAGAUAAUCGAUUAGUAACAUUGCAUGCUUUCCAAUUUUGACAACUUGCAACUGAUAUCAAGUGGGAUGAUGCUGCACUUAUUAGCCAAUUUUUCUACAAAUUACAAUAUGAGAUAAAAAAAUUAAUGCUCAACUUAUCUGAUCCUCAAACAUUGAGUCAAGCAAUUGACUUUGCUUUGAAAAGGCACAAUCGUCUUUUUGAAUUUCAAUGUGGGAAUUGUACAAGUGAACCUCAACGUUACUAUAAUUCAAUGGCAACACCAAUAUUUCUUCAAUACAUACAUUCAGAAGUACAGAAUAUGCAAAUUGAUGCGGUACGUUUCAAACUUCUUAGUGAGCAAGAAAAGACUCAUCAUUGUUAGGAAAGAUUGUGCUUAAAUUGUAGAGAACCUAAGCACACUGCUCAAUAUUGCCAAAAGAAGUGACACAACUAUAAAAUGAGGAGUACGACAAUCAAAGAAGAUAGCAUGUCAAAAAAAAAUAAUUGUCUAACUAUAAUAGGCCCCAUGUGGCUGGAACCUUGUACAACGCAUAGUGAAGGUCCUAUCCUCUCCUCAAAAUCCUCUCCAUGUUUUAAAAUAAAUAUUUUUCUACAACCUAAAUAUCACAAAGCCUCUGCCUUUCUAGAUUCACGAACCUCACUAUGUUUCUUAGAUGAAGAAUUUGCUAAAAGACAUAGCAUAUUUUUAGUGAAGAAAACUAAACCUGUUCAUGUAGAAGUCAUAGAUGAUCGUUUGUUGUCUUCAGAAGAUGUUACUCAUGAAAUCCUUUCUAUAGAAAUAACAACUAAUGGUCAUAGUAACUUUAUAAUAUUUAAUAUCAUUAGAUCUCUUUUUAAUCCAGUCAUUUUAGGUUUAUCAUGGCUACAAAAAUAUAAUCCUAAAAUAGAUUAGACUUCUCAGAGUCUUGAUUUUUCUGAAAGUAUAACUAAGAGUGUAGUUAAUUAAGUACAAAGUCAUAAGUCUAAUAUAUUUAAACCUAUAUUUGUAGGUACAAGUGCUUUCUUGCAUGUUGCAAAAGAAGUAUCACCUUGUAUCAUUUAUGCCACACUUGUUCUAUUAGUGGAAAGACUACAAGUGGCAUUCCAAGCCAAUAUUAAAAUUUUUAAGAUGUAUUUGAGAAGAAGAAUGUGGAUACUCUUCUAGAACAUUGUUCCUAUGAUUGCUCAAUUGACCUUCAAGAAGGAGCAAGACCACCAUUUGGACCAAUCUACAAUUUAUCUUAAAUGAGAUGGCUGAACUCAAGGAAUAUAUUUUAGAGAAUUUGGCCAAGAACUUCAUACACCAUUCCAAAUCUCCAGCAGAAGCUCCAAUUUUAUUUGUGAAGAAAAAAGAUGGAUCAUUGCGGAUGUGUAUCGAUUAUCGAGGACUCAAGAAAAUCACUAUUAAAAAUAGGUAUGCGAUAUCUUUGAUAUCUAUACUCUUUGAUCAGUUGAAUCAAGCUAAGAUCUAUAUAAAAAUAGAUCCACGAGGAGAAUACAAUCUGGUAUGGAUCAAAGAAGGAGAUGAAUGGAAGAUUGCAUUUCGAACAAAGUAUGGACAUUUCAAAUACAAUGUCAUGCCUUUUGGACUUACAAAUGCAUCAAUGGCAUUCUAACAUCUAAUGAAUGAUGUCUUUUGGGAGUUUUUAGAUGAUUUUGUUGUCUAUUACCUAGACGACAUUUUAAUCUAUUCUAAAAAUAUUGAAGAAUAUGAAUAUCAUGUUUGUCAUGUAUUACAAAAAUUAAGAGAUGCGGGAAUCUAUGCCAAGAUAGAAAAGUGUAUAUUUCACACUACUCAAGUCGACUUCUUACGAUACAUCAUUUCAAAUGAUGGACUUAUGAUGGAUCGUAAGAAAUUUCAAACUAUUAUGGAUUGGAAGAUCCCAAAAAUGGUAAGAGAUGUCCAAUGCUUUUUGGAAUUUUUCAACUACUAUUGGAUCUUCAUCAAAGACUUCUCUCAAGUUGUAACUCCACUUACACGUUUGACUUGCAAAGAUAAACUUCAAUAGAAUCAAGAAGCAAAAGUAGCAUUUGAAGCUUUGAAGAUAGCAUUUGUUUUUACACCAAUCUUAUAUCGUGUCAAUUUUUCUAAGCCAUUUUUUAUGGAAACAAACACAUCAGACUUUGCUUUGUAUGCCAUAUUUUUACAAAUGGGAAUAGAUGAUAAACUUCAUGCAAUAGCUUUUCAUUCCAAAAAAAUUUCAGCAAUUGAGAUCAACUACAAGAUCCACAACAAAGAACUUCUUGUAAUCAUGGAUUCAUUUCAAGAAUGGUGCCAUUAUCUAGAGGGUGCUUCUAGCUCAGUUGCAGUAUAUACGGAUCACAAGAACCUUGAAUAUUUUAUGUCAAUACUUAUUUUGAAUCGUUGUCAAGACCAUGGAAGUAUGUCUUUGUCUAGAUUCAAAUUCAAGAUCACUUAUCAACUAGUAAAACAACAAGGUUUGUCACAUGCACUCUCUAGAUGAUCUUACCUUUUACUAAAGAAAGAAGAUCCUACUUUUAAUCAAUAAUGGACAAUUUUCUUGAAGCAAAAGUAACUUCAUCUUCAAGCAAUAAAAACAAUACUAAUAAUUGAUUCAACUUUUAUUAAGCAAGUUCACUCAAGUAUGUCUUCUAAUCCUCUUAUUCUUGAUAUUAAGGGAAAUCCUUCAAAGUUUCAUGAUACUUCCAAGUUUGAAUUCAAAAAGAAUCUAAUAUAUUUAGGAAGAUGCCUAUAUGUUCAAGAAGGAGAAGCUCGACUACGUGUCAAGGACAAAGACUCGAUGAGGAAAAAUAUACACCAAAAGGCUAUCUCGAUAUAAUAAGUCAAAAUAUAAACAAGUAGGUAUAUUAAAAGGAAACUGGAAUGGCUAUUGCCACAAGACAAGAAACUAAAGACUCUUGAACCUGGACUAGAAUCAAGAAAGGAGUUGACAAGAGUGAAGAAGCCUUCACUCUUGUCUCUAUAUAUACUAUCUAACUAGGGGCUACGUGGCGACGUUCUAUAGGACCUCCAAUAUGUGUUGCCUUUGUAGGACACAUGCCUUGACUUACAAGGCAAGUUUUUCUACGUGUCGGCCACAUAGUUAGCUUGAUCUUCAAGCUAACAACAUGUGUGGCACAUGGCCAACUUUUUGAUCACGUUUCUAAUCCAAAAAGUCAAUUAAAGACACCUAUGAAGUCAAAGCAGCGUCUAGAAAGUUUCUAGAAAGCUUCUAUAUUAAAUAUUAUAGAAUUAAUUUACUUUUAUCUACUUUUACUUACUUCUACCUAUUUCUAUAUGUAAUUAUUAGCUUACAUGAUUAUGGCCGUGACAUUACCCCCCCUUCUAGAGACGAGUUCCAUGAGGAGCGGUCAUCAUAUGUUGAGAAAAUCUAUGAUGCGACGAAUUGUAUUCGCCACAUACUCUGAUCUCUGUUCUCUUCGAAGAUGAUUGAUAGGGCCUCUCAAUCAUCGGUAGUGUCCCAUACCAAGGCGGGAAGACCACCCAGUUAUUUGAUCAUUGUUGAGGCCUUCGUAACUUCCUUCGAAUAGAAUAUUCGGAACACCAUCAGGAGUUGUUCCUACCUCUAGCAAAAUCACCAAACAUCGGGAGUCCCUUCCCAAAUCGUGAUACCAAACGCGUUGUAUGUCACCAUCUGUUCGAGGAAGAACAUGUCGUUCUUGAAGAUCUUCAUCUCGAUUAUGUCAUCUUGAAGGUUGUGACAAUCGUAAUGUCUCGUCCGGCAGGUCAGCAAACAAAGGUUCUUGAGUUGAAUCCGCUGGUUGUUGGCUCUCCAUCUAAUUAGCGUCACAAAUACAAAGAAGUUACAAACAAGGAUAGGAAAUUGAAUGUUAUCUUGCCUCAAUCUUGUCUCUUUUAUAAGAGAGAUUUUCAUCUUGGUUUUGAUGGAUGUCAUUGAUGAAAAACUUUGACUUUAGCUGAUACAUUUGCUAGAUUCCUGGAUGGCUCCAAUGUGCGUUCACUAAUAUCAUAUCCAUGCCAAUGAACAAGAUAUUCCAGCUUAUUUCGGCGCCGCCUUGAGUCUAAUAUCUCUUCCACCUCAAAUUCUUCAUUAUUAUCUACUUCUAUAGGAGGCGGUGGCAUUUGUCUUCUUCCUUGUAUAUCCACUGUCUUAUAUGGUUCAAGAAGAGACACGUAGAAUACAGGAUGGAUCUUCAUAGACUCCGGUAGAUGUAACCGAUAUGCAACUGAGUUGAUCUGUUCAGAAACAAAAAAGGGGCCAAGCCUACGAUAGUCCAACUUGUCACAAGGUCGAGUAGUCUUGAUAUUGCGACGAAGUAGUCAUAUCUUAUCACCCACAUUGAGUUGACGUUGCUCCUUACGAUAUAGAUCUGCGUUUAUCUUUUGUCGUUCUUAAGCUUCCUUCAAUUGCGUCUUCAUUAUUGCAUGUAACUCUGACAACCGAUUUGCCAUAUCUUCUGCUGCAGGAUUAUCAACUUUUGAAAAAUCAAAAGUAUCAAGUCGUGGAUGAUAGCCAUAAUUGGCAAAGAAAGGUGUUUGUUGCGUGGAAGAAUGUACCGUAUUAUUAUAAGCAAACUCUGCCAAUGGCAGAAGGUUUGUCCAAUCAUCUUGUUGGUAGUUGAUAGUACACCUUAAACAUUGCUCCAAGACUUGGUUUACGCGCUCUGUUUGUCCAUCAGUUUGAGGAUGGAAAGCCGAAGAUAGUUUUAUGUCUACUUUUAAAAUCUUGAAAAGGAUCCUCCAAAAUCUUGACACAAAUUGAGUUCCCCUAUCUGAUAUGAUAUCUUUAGGUAAUCCAUGAUAGCGAUAGAUAUUAUCAAUGAAAAGCUUAGCUGUUUUUUCACCUGUGAUAGAUUUUGUACAUGGCACAAAAUGUGCCAUCUUGGUGAAACGAUCUACUAUCACAAAUAUAGAAUCAUAAGAUCUUGAGUUUGGAAGAUCUGUGAUGAAAUCCAUAGAAACAAAAGACCAUGGUUGUUCUGGUAUAGGUAAUGGCUGAAGAAGUCCGUAAGGUCGAUGAUGAGGAAUUUUUGAUCUUGAACAAAUAUCACAUGAUUGUACAAAGUCUUUGACUGACUUCCACAUUUGUGGCCACCAAAAAUCUCUUGAUAUGAGUUCCAAAGUCUUAUUAUAUCCAAAGUGCCGUGCUGCUGGAAAGUCAUGACGUGAUUAAAGAAUACGUAAACUUGCUUCUCCUUUUGGAACAUAUAGGCGUCCUUCAAAAUAUAAUAGAUUAUUCUUAAACUCGAACUUAGAAGGAUCAUGAGACUUGAAAGAAUUAUUCUUGAUAUCAUAAAUAAAAGGGUCUGAGGACAUACUGGACUGGAUUUGCUUGAGAAAAGUUGAAUCAACAAUCAAUGUUGAUUUCAUUGCUCGGAGAUGAAAUUGCUCCGGUUUCAAGAGGAUCGUUCUUUGUUGCUCAAAAGCUGCAUCUCGUUCUUUUGGUGCAAAAUAAGAACGUCUAGAUAGGGCAUCAAACAAACCUUGUUGUUUUCCUGGCCGAUAAGUGAUAAUGAACUCGAAUCUUGACAAAGACAUACUCCAACGAGCAUGACGACGAUUCAACAUGCUGUCGUAUUACGUGCUUUUCUGCUCGAGAACGCCCCGGAUGUCUGGCUGUAGAAGGUAGUAUGGAGAUUCACCGAUAGUCAAGUAGUCUAUCAGUUUUUGACUGCUGGAAUAUAAACGACUGCAACAAUGUACCGUAAAUCUAUACGGAUGCUCUUCGACUGCUUGUCGAAGUCUUUUUUUUUUUUUUUUUUUUUUCGAGCCGAUAGGUCUCUAAACGUUACAGAGAACCCCGUACAUUCCAAAUUCUUAAUCUUCAAUACCCCUUUGUACUUACGAUCUUGUAUCCACUGACUAUCCUGUUAGAUUAACCCAAUAAAUUUCAUUCACUCCGCAUACUCAAUCCUAUAGACACCCCUUUAAUCCUUCAAUCACAGACGUAACUUGAUUUUAUAAAACAGUCAAGAGUAUUCAACCCACUUCAUUUAAAAAUCCCGAUUCACCAUUACAACACUGACUUCAGCAACGAUUGCCUCAGUGUUCCCAAAACUCUAUGAAGAAGAAAAAUCCAAAUUCUAUGUCUUUUCUUCCCCGACCCGAAGCAUGAAGCUCCUCUCUCUAAUUCCCUAGAUCUUCAAAAAAUUCCAAUGAAACCGAACUGGUAACCUUGCAAAAGCUUUGAAAACUCGCUCCCCCCCGAUUCCCCUGAAAAAAAAACCCCCCCCUCAAAACUAUAUCCCCCCUAACCUUAUCCUCUGAAUUUCUUCAAUCUUCCGUCUUAGAUCCGGAAUUGGCUCCCACUUCAAGCUUGGAUCCGAAAUUGGCUCUCGCCGUCAAGCUUUCUCCUCCGUUUUUACCUUUAAGAAAUCCAUUUACCGAAAACAAUGUUCCCUGAAAUGGCACAGAGAACAGGACAGCCUAAAACAGAAUCGAAUCCCGAAAUCGGAACCACAUUGAGUCGCCCGACCAAUUCAGGUCCUAUAUUGGAAAAGAUGCCCCUAGAAACCGGGAUGUUCCCAUAAUUGAAUCAAAUUGGUCUUCGCAUCAGAUUGGCUAAGACCCGUAGUAAGACCUGGAUUUCUCGUAAUUAGACUGCAUUGGGUUGACCGGCCAAUUCAGGUCUCAUAUUGGAUAAGAGGAUAGAUUAGAUUAUCGAAAUUGGAUCCAAUUGGCUCCUCGAACCCGUCGUGUGAAUUGGUCCUUCUCUUCCUACUGACUCCCGUUAUUGAAAUCAAACGGGGCAUUUCAGUAUGCCCCGGCUGACUAUAACGGAGUCACUGAACCUGACCACUCAGUAUUUGUACUCGAGUUGGUCGAUGCUCCCAAUAUUCGAGGCAACUGAAUAUUAAUAAAAUUCCCCUUCCUUUUUAUUUUCACUGUAUACUCGUGUUACAACACGACAUCCACGCCCUCUAAACCUGUGCAUCCUCCGGUAUGCACCAAUUUACCCAAUUGUUGUUUGAUUCAGAAUAUAUCCCCUACGUCUUUAUCUUUUUCGUCUUCGUCACCUUCAUUAUCCAUAUCACUUUCAUCUUUUUCCUGUGGAAUCUCUGUACCUUCAUUAAGGUCUUCCAUAUUCAUCUCUGCGUGUCUUCGUUUAAAUAUUUUUACUCGCUUCCCUGCAAUUGGUAUUUUCAAUUUUAAACCAUCUAACUCCCGUAAUGAGUAAGUCGCAUUAUCAUGAACAGUUGUUACAACAUAUGGUCCAAACCAACGUUUUGAAAAUUUCCGCAAAGUUCUAUGUUGAUUAUCCAGACUAUUGUCAUAAACAAGUAUCCAGUCACCUUUCUCGAUUGCUUUUGGUCUCAAUCGAUGUUGCUUAUCAAAUCGCGCCUUGUUUUGUAACCUUGCUCUUUUUAACCUUUCCAAUGCUAUCUGGACAUCUUCCGUUCUUUGCUCCAAUUGUCGAAUCCUAAUAGCCAGAAGUUCUUCUUUUGUCAAUCCAUCUUCCCAUGGUAGCAUACUCCAAAUAAGUACCUUUUCUUCAAUCGGCAUAAUUGGUUUUUGACCUGUCAUAAGUUCUACUGGCAUAUAUCCUGUCACCGAACUAUGUGUUGUUCGAUCAGCCCAUAAUGCAAAUGACAAAAGCCGUGGCCACUCUUUAACCUUCCCAUUACAAGCUUUAACCAAUGCUUUCACAAUCGGCAGGUGACCAAGUUCGCUUUUUGCAUUCCCUUUCGGAUUAUAAGCAGUAGUCAGUGAUAGCUUAACUCCACAUUUUUCAAAGAACUUACGAGCUUCUUGUGCAUUUAAUUCUCCAUGAUCUGCAGUGAUUUUUUCUACGCACCCGUAACGGCAAAUGACAUCUUCAAGCAAAAACCUACAAAUUCCCUCUGUAGAUUUUGUCCUCAAUGCUCUUCCUUCUACUAGAUUUGAUAAAUCUUCACGAGCUAAAACCAAAUAUCUCAUCUGCCAUAACCCAACCGGCAUAAUAACCAAAUCAACAACCCAUUUAAAAUGAAUAGCUAGAGGAUAUGUAGGAUGAAGACCAUCUCGAUGUCGGAUAUUAGAAUACGAUUGACAGAUUUCACAUGACUCUACAAAUGAGAGCACAUCUCGAUACAUAUUUUUCCACCAAUAUCGUUCCUUGAGUUUAGCAAAAGUAGCCCAGAUUCCUCUAUGCCCUGCCCAUAAACUAUCAUGAAACUCUUUUAAUAAUUUUAGUUUUUCUUCCCUUUAGCCUAUCACUCGUUGUGGCAUCCCAAUUCCUUUCUUCGGUCUCUUCCAUAAGAAUCCAUCUCGAAGUAAAAAUCCAUAUGCUUCUUUUCUUAUUUGUUUGAAUUUUUCUGUAGACAAAUUCCCCUGUUUAGACAAGGUAUUCAAAUAAUGACCAAUAUCCAAUAAUUCUCCUUCAUAAGAUUCUUCAAGAAAUAGCUUGUCUUCUCUGUUGACAUUUGAGAUUGAAUAGAAUUUCAAUCCGACAUCAUCAAUGUCUUCAACCAUUUCGUCCUCCCUCUCGUAUCUUGCUCGAGAUAGCAUGUCUGCUACUAAAUUGUCCUUUCCAAUGAUAUGCUUAAAUUCUAGAUUUAGUGACUUAAUAUAAGCAAUCCAUCUCAACAUUGUAAUAUCUGGCGUUGAACAGUUAAUAAUCAUUCCAAGCAAUGGCAAGCAAUCUGUUUCAAUUACUACUACUGCCCCAAUCAAAUAGUCCUUUUCAGCUUUCAUAGCCGAAACGACCCCCCAAAGUUCUCUUUUGAAUUGCGAAUAUGCAUGUUGAUGAAUAGUUAAAAUUUUAGCCCCAAAUCAAACUGCAAAUCUACUCCCAUUCGAAUCAUCUUGACCCACAGCCCAUCCAACAGUAAUUGGACUAGCGUCUACAGUAUGAAUCACUCGUCUAUUGCACUUAUAAUCAACCUUCCUCAAUAUUGAAGGUGACAUCAAUAAUUUCUUCAAUCUUUACAUUGCUAGAAUUUGCCUAUCUUCUCAUUUAAAUCGGUAACCCUUGCGUAACAGUUCAUAUAAUAGAUCCGCUAUGUAAGCAAAAUGAAGGACCCAGAUUCGAUAAAAUAUACAUGCACCUAAAAACCUGCGAACCUCUGUUAAAGAAUCACAAUCCUCUUUCAUCCUUCCAAUUGCAUCAUUUAAGUCGGAUCUGGUUUUCUUCCGUAAGAUCCACAUAAAUGUCCAACAAUUACAACCUCUCGUACUCCAAAUAUGGACUUCAUACCCGAUAAUGUAAGAUGAACUUCUCCAAGCUGAGUUAAAAACUUUUCACAAUCUUGUAUAUGAUCAACAACAUAUUUGCGACAUCCCCUCGUAUCUAAAGUUUCAUCCUUGUCUCUUUCUCUGCAUCCUUUUAUAGGAACAUCAUCCAGAAAAGGCAUAGUCUUUUCCGGAAUAAAAUCCCUCAAUACCUUAUUCAUCCCAUUCAUCAUAUGCGCAACUGAAUUGAUCGCGCCUAGAGGAAGAGUGCACAUUCUAACCAAUCCAAGUGGUGUCCUCAUCGUUGUCAUAUCUCUACUUCCUUCGGCAAGUUGAAAUUGAUCAUAACCUGAAUACAAAUCACCGAUUGAAUAGAUCGCCCUUCCAGCAAACGCCUCAGCAAAUUCAUCCACAAUAGGUUUAAUUCCUGCAUUCCUGACAGUUAAAGCAUUCACUGGCUGCAUAUCUUGAAUAAACCGUUUUGACCCAUUCUUCUUAUGUACCGUAAACCAUCGACUAGAAUACGGCACAAAUGAAGUUUUUAAUAUUUUCAUCUUUAUCUUUUCUUUCAAUAGUUCCACCAAUUUAGGUAAAUGUGCCCUCGGUACUAGAAUCGGUCUUAGAUUCCAAGGUACAUGCGGUACAAUGUAGGUAACCAUAGGUGUUAUAAUAUUUGGAUCCACACACCCAAUUUCAUGAGAUUCGAAGGCAAACGAUCUACCUUGUUUAGCCAACAUCUUUUUGAAGCAAGUAAUUUCCUCCGGCAAUAAAGAACCAUCAGAACCAAUCUUCAAUUCUUCAAAAGUCUCUUCAGUAAAUUGAUGUCCAAUACUCAUUGGAUCUCUUAAACUUGCUUCUUUUGAUGCUUCUCCCAUUUGUUCUUUAGAAUCCUCUGGUAAUGGUCCAGGCUUUACCUUCUUAUCAGCCGUUUUAUAUCUCGUCUCUACUGUGACUUCUGGUGCUUGAAAAGAUUCAAGCAUGGUAUAAACCUCUCUUGAAUGAAUCUCAACAAUCUUAUCAUUAUCCCCUAAUCCAAUAGAUGUAAUCAAUUCCAAUGAAUCUUCCAGUCCAUUUUCAUCACAAACACCCAAAAUCUUCUCAUCGUCUUGCAAUAUACCUAUCUUGCGUAAUUGUCCUUUAAUAUCAUAUAAUCUUUUUCUUUCCUUUCUUUGAAAAUCAUCAACCUUCUUAUACAUAAUAUUUCCAUUCUCCAAUAUACCAAUAAAACUCGCAUCAAAGGCACCUUCAUCUCGCGAGAGUACCUCCUCUUUUGUACCUCCAUAAUCUCGCUUUACAAUGGUACCUCCCCAAAAUCCUUAAAUCCUUCAACAAUCUUUGGCAAUGGUUUCUCCCUCAACCUAUCUCGAUUCCGUUCAUGGUUAGGAGGUACUGUUAGAAAUUGUACAGCUUUCCUCCCAUCUUCGCUCCGUACCCUUGCAUAAGCAGAACCAUGGUCAAGUACCUUUGUUUCCAUCCGUGUUGCCGUGAUAUAAGGUUGUCCUAAAAUCAACGGAUAAGACGUUGUAUCUUGAACGAAGAAAUGUUGCUUCGUCGCAACAUCCCCAAUCCGAAUUUUGACAUCUGGACAAGCUCCAUAUAAUUCGCCUCGUGUGUUAUUAGCUGCUCGUAUUGCCCAUCCAUGUUCCAUAUCAAUUGGCCAUUUUUGCUUCUUAUAAAGAUCUUUAGACAUGAGAUUUAUUUCAGUACCAUGGUCCACCAAAGUAACUAUUGGUUCUUCUAUAUCUCCUACCUUCACCAAUACCUCAGUAGUUGUCCCCGCCCAAUGCUUUCGAGUAUAAUGGCUCAAAGUUUCCAUUUCCUUGUCACUAGAAUCUUCGAAACGUACUCGCUGAUUAUACCCAUUCUUUUCAUUUGUUGGUUGCUUGUAACCAAUAUCAACCUCUUCUUCAUCUCUACAUAUUCUUGCAUCAAUAGCAUGACUCAUUCAAGUUUCGUCCAUUAAUUACCUCUUUCGCUUAAUGCUGUCAAUGAUAACAUCAUGAAACUCCUUCUUUGCAAUUUCCAAGACUUCUUUCAAUGUGAAUUCCACCUUAGCGUUUAAUAUACGUUCUUCCAACACUCCUUUCAAAUUUGUUGCCGCUUCAAUGUCAGAAAGUAGUUUAUAAGCAAUUGAUUUGCUCUUAUCUUUUGUCUCCGUUGUUUUUUCUCCCAAUGAUGCUGAGGUAUCCUUUACAUGCAAUUCUUGUGAAGCUGCCUCUCGAGCCUUGUCUCCUCGAGUUUGCCUCUUAAAAGAAUUUCCUUCUCUAGUAUCAUCAAAAUUUCUUCAUCUUUUUUCUUCCAUCAAAGCUUCAUGUUGGCUCUUAGCAAUAUAUGCAUGAACUGAAAGAGACUCAACAAGAUCCUUCCAACCUGUUCUUCCUCAUAUUGUAGCUGCAGUUCUCAAUAACGCUUCUCGAGGUAAUUUCCCUUCUUGCAUUGUAGAAACGGCAGAAGUCCAAAACUCACUAGUUUCCGUACUUCCACCAAUUUCAUCAUCUACUCUAGCACCAUAACUUGCACUUUCUCAUACUACUGUUUCAUGCUCUUUUAAGUAAUCUUGAACCAAUGCUCUCAUUUCUCCCUUGCCAAAAUUGGUUUGAAGAAAAUCCUCAAUAUCUUUCAAUACUAUCUUCCCAUCUUUCCAGCAAAUAAUUCCCUGCCGUAUCAUAUUAUUAAAUUCAUUGCAAUCUUUUCUAGUGUGUGAAGCAUCAUCACACCAAAUGCAUCUUUGUACAUAUCCUUGUUUUGAAACAUUCUUCGAAUUGUUUAUAGAAGUAUUCUCUUCAAGUCUUGCCAAUUUGAUUUGAAGAUCUCGCAUUCCUCGUAUAAUUUCUUCCAUACGAAUAUCUGCUUUCUUAGACAAGGAUGUCGAAGGUUGAACUAUAGGCAUUGUCGGUGGUGUUGUACGUACUGGAGCUUUGGGUGCUUGUACUGUUUUUGGAAUAUUGCUCCUAUCCUUCCUCCUUUCUUUUUUUGUAAGCAACCCCACUGCAUCUUCAACGUUCUUCCACUUCAUUUUCAAUCCUUCAUCUUCUUCUUUGUCUUCAAGAAGGGGUUCUAAUUUCUCUUGCAAUUCUCCAUCAGCAGCUUGAAGAAAUAGAUCAACUUUGUUCGGCUCGAAUGUCAAUUUUUCUACCUUUGAUAAUUGAGAGUACUGCCUCUCAAAUUCCCUUAGUAGCUCUGUUGCUUGCAAAUUCUUAUUGGGCCGUUCAAUCCAUUUCAAAAACAGCUUCUUAGUAACGCGAUCAGCAUCUUCCAAGAAAUAUUCGUCUUUCAAUGCAUGUGAAAAAUCCUCCCAUGAAUUCCCACAACGAUCCGUAAUCGAUGUAAUGUGGUCUCUUAUCUCCGGUAUCGUGGCAAGUCCAAAUAGUGCAACCAUUUUCUUCUCAGAAAUCCGAUUUAAUUCCAUUUCACGAACAUAACAUCUUAAAUACUUUGAAAUAUUCCUUCCAUCAAAUUGAUCAAUUUUAUUGACCACUGCUUGCAAUGCUUUGGUUGCCAAAGCUUCCUUUCGAUCAUUGCUUAGCUAUUGCUGCAUUGACAAUGAGAAGGCUUGAAACAAACUAGCAAUAGACGGAUCCAUGUGCAUACCUUGUCCUUUAGAAGACUCUCCACCAGAAACUUCUCCCAAAAAUCCUUCAAAAUUUUUAUUUUCGUUUUCUAUAAAAAUAUAGAUAAAAUCAACCCAAAUCCAAUACCUUCCACCUCAAGCUUUCACGUCGGGUUCACCACUUAUGUUGUAUUACGUGCUUUCCUGCUCAAGAAAGCGUCCAGCGUCUGACUAUAGAAGGUAGUAUGGAGAUUCACUGAUAGUCAAGCAGUCUAUCAGUUUUUGACUGCUGGAAUAUAAAAGACUGCAACAAUGUACCGUAAAUCUAUACGGAUGCUCUUCGACUGCUUGUCGAAGUCUUUUUUUUUUUUUUCUUUUCCCAGCCGAUAGGUCUCUAGACAUUACAGAGAACCCGGAACAACCCAAACUGUUAAUCUUCAAUACCGCUUUAUACUUACGAUCUUGUAUCCACUGACUGUCUUGUUAGAUUAACCCAAUAAAUUUCAUUCACUCCGCAUACUCAAUCCUAUAGACAUCCUUUUAAUCCUUCAAUCACAGACGUAACUCGAUUUUACAAAACAGUCAAGAGUAUUCAACCCACUUCAUUUAAAAAUCCCGAUUCACCAUUACAACACUGACUUCAGCAGCGAUUGCCUCAGUCUUCUCAAAACUCUGCAAAGAAGAAAAAUCCAAAUUCUAUGUCUUUCCUUCCCCGACCCGAAGCAUGAAGCUCCUCUCUCUAAUUCCCUUGAUCUUCAAAAAAUUCCAAUGAAACCGAACUGGUAACCUUGCAAAAGCUUUGAAAACUCGCUCCCCCCUGAUUCCCCUGAAAAAAAAACCCCCCCCUCAAAACUAUAUCCCAUCUAACCUUAUCCUCUGAAUUUCUUCAAUCUUCCGUCUUAGAUCCGGAAUUGGCUCCCACCUCAAGCUUGGAUCCGAAAUUGGCUCUCGCCGUCAAGCUUUCUCCUCCGUUUUUACCUUUAAGAAAUCCAUUUACCGAAAACAACGUUCCCUAAAAUGGCACAGAGAACACGAUAGCCUGAAACAGAAUCGAAUCCCGUAAUCGGGACCACAUUGAGUCGCCCGACCAAUUCAGGUCCUAUAUUGGGAAAGAUGCUCAAUUGGAUCAAAUUGGUCCUCGCGUCAGAUUGGCUAAGACCCGUAGUAAGACCUGGAUUUCUCGUAAUUAGACUGCAUUGGAUUGACCGGCCAAUUCAGGUCUCAUAUUGGAUAAGAGGACCCGGAUUGGAUUAUUGAAAUUCGAUCCAAUUGGCUCCUCGAACCCGUCGUGAGAAUUGGUCGUUCUAUUUCUUCUGACUCCCAUUAUUGGAAUCGAAUGGAGCAUUUUAGUAUGCCCCGGCUGACUGUAAUGGAGUGACAGAACGUGACCACUCAGUAUUUGUAUUGGAGUUGGUCGAUGCUCCCAAUAUUCGAGGUAACGGAAUAUUAAUAAAAUUCUCCUUUCUUUUAAUUUUCAUUGUAUACUCGUAUUACAACACGACAACGCGUGCUGACAUGAGGUACUCGAGGUUCUUGUGAUUUGUAUACACAGUGACUCGACUAGAAGCUCCUUCUCAAUAAUGACGCCAUUCUUGAAAGAAAUCCACGUUCGCAAGAAGUUCUUUAUCGUGGAUCUCAUAAUUGAUCUCGGCUGCUGAGAAUUUUCUUGAAUGAAAAGCUAUCGGAUGAAGUUUGUCAUGUGUUCCCAUUUGUAAUAAAACUGCACCUAAAGCAAAAUCUGAUGCAUCUGUUUCCAUAAAAAAUGCCUUGGAAAAAUCAACACGAUAUAAGACUAGUGCAGAGACAAACGAUGUCUUCAAGGCUUCAAAUGCUGCUUCCGCUUCUUGAUUCCAUUGGAAUUUAUCUUUACUAGUCAAGUGUGUAAGUGGAGCUACAACUCGUGAAAAAUCUUUGAUGAAGAUCCGAUAGUAAUUGGCAAAUCCCAAGAAACAUUAGACAUCUCUUACAGUCCUUAGAAUCUUCCAAUCCAUGAUUAUUUGGACUUUCUUAGAAUCCAUCAUGAGACCAUCAUUUGAAAUGAUGUAUUCUAAAAAGUCAACUUGAGUAGUGUGAAAUACACACUUUUUCAUCUUGGCGUACAAUCCUGCAUCUCUAAGUUUUUGUAAUACUUGACGAACAUAUAUUUCAUGUUCUUCGAUGUUCUUGGAAUAGAUCAAGAUAUCGUCUAGAUAGCAGACGAUAAAAUUGUCUAAGAAUUCAUGAAAUACAUCAUUCAUGAGAUGUGGAAAAGCAGCUGGUGCAUUCGUGAGUCCAAAGGGCAUGACAUUAUAUUCGAAAUGUCCAUACCUAGUUCGAAACGUAGUCUUCCAUUCAUCUCCUUCUUUGAUCCGUACUUGAUUAUAUGCUCCUCUUAGAUCUAUUUUUGUAUAGAUCUUAGCUUGAUUCAACUGGUCAAGGAGUCCUGAUAUCAAAGGUAAUGGAUACCUGUUCUUGAUUGUGAUCUUGUUGAGUCCUCGAUAAUCAACACACAUUCGUAAAGAUCCAUCUUUUUUCUUUACGAAUAGAAUUGGAGCUCUUGCUGGAGAUUUUGAAUGGCGUAUGAAAUUCUUCGCUAAAUUCUCGUCAAUAUAUGUCUUGAGUUCAGCCAUCUCAUCUUGCGAUAAACUGUAAAUUGGUCCAAAUGGUGGCUGAGUUCCUUCCUUGAGGUCGAUUGAAAAAUCAUAUGGGCGAUGCUCAGGAAAAAUAUCUACAUUUUAUUUCUCAAAAAUGUCUUGAUACUCUUGAUAUUGACUUGGAAUGCCAAUUGAAGUCUUUACGUUUUCAGAAAUAGGUGCAACAUAAAUAGCAAAAGUUGAUCCUUCUUUUGCUGCGUGUAUAAAUGCUUUUGCACCUAUAAGUACGGGUUUUACUAUAUUAGACUUAUAAUUUUUUACUUGGUUGGUAGAACUAUUAAUAACGCUUUGGAAAAAGUCAAGUUUAAGCGAAUUCCAAUCUAUUCGAGGGUUAUAUUUUUCUAGCCAGGAUAAACCUAAAAUAACUGGAUUGGACGGGGAUUUAAUUAUGUUAAAAGCUAUGUAGCUAUCAUGACCGUCUAUUGUUACUUUUAUAGGAUGAGUUUCAUGAGUGACAUCUCCAGAAGACAAGGGACGACCAUCUAUGACUUCUAUAUAUACUGGUUUAGGUUUCUGCACAAAGGGUAUUUUACAACUUUUAACAAAUUGUUCAUCUAAAAAACAUGUUGAGGCUCCCGAAUCUAAUAAAGCAGAGGCUUUGUAAUUCUUAGGUCCUAAAUAUAAGUCUAUUAUAAAACAAGGAGAGGGUUCUGAGGAGAGGAUAGGACCUUCAUUAGGAAUUGUACAAGGUUCCAGCUGCACGGUCCCUAUUGUAGCUGGACGAAUCCGUUUUCCGACAUGUUGUCUUCUUUGACCGUCGUACCCCUCAUUUUAUAGUUGCGUCAUUUCUUUGGACAAUGUUGAGCAGUGUGCUUAGGUUCUCCGCAAUAUAAACAUAAUCCUUCUUGACGACGACAAAUCUUUUCUUGCUCAUUUAGGGAUUUAAAACGUACCGCGUCAAUUUGCAUGUCUUCUACUUCUGAAUGUACGUUUGGCAAAGAUGUUGAUGUUGCCAUUGAGUAAUAACGUUGAGGUUCCCGUCACUGAUUCUCGGAUCGAAAUUCGAAAAGUCGAUUAUCACAUUUUACCGCAAAAUCGAUUGCUUGACUCAAAGUUUGAGGAUCAGGUAAGUUGAGCAUCAAUUUCUUUACUUUGUAUUAUAAUCCAUAAAGAAAUUGAUUGAUGAGUGCAGCAUCAUCCCUCUUCAUGUCAAUUGCAAGUUGUCAAAAUUGUGAAGCAUAUACUGUUACUGAGCGAUUUCCUUGUCGCAGAAUUCGGAUCUUAUUUGUUGCAACACGAGUUGCAUCGUGUUCACCAUACAUAGAUCGAAACUCCGCCAAAAAAGCUUCCAAAUUGUCCAAUAUUGGAUUUGGUUGUUCAAGAAAAGACGAAAACCACGAUAAUGCAGAACCAGAAAGUAGAGUGCCAAUAAACCUGACUUGUGAUCCUGGAGUUGGAUAGCUUUGCGGUUGAAGUUCAAUUGCCAAUUGUACUUGAUUGAUGAACCCUCGAAACUUUGAUCUCGUACCAUCAAAUUUCUCAUGUAAGGCAAUUCUUGGUUCUCUAGUGCUUAUAGGGUGUUGUACAAUUGGAGAAGGAACGUGAUUUGUUGUAGAUGUUGAAGCAGCUCCGAUCAUCUCUAUAUCUCCACUUUCUGCUAUUCUUGUUCUUUCCUGUGUUGGUGAAUUGAGUUGAUGCAUCGCAAGCAUUAACUCCCUCAUUUGCUCUUGCAUUUGUACCAUUGCACUCUUCAUUUCAAUGAGCUCUGCUAUAAUGACACUAAGAAGAAAAAUUUGUUUGAUAUUGCUCAAGACAAAAGAAAAGAAAGACUUGAUAACAAAGAAGAUACUAAGAACAAUAUCAGUUUAGAAGUGGGUAAUCCGCAAACUUCUAAUAGGCUUAUGUCUUGUCAAGAGAAAGGGGUAAUCCACUCUUACUCAAGAAAAAAUAAAGCUCUGAUAUUGUAAGUGUACUCUUGUCAAUCUGUCAAGGACAAAGACUCGAUGAGGGAAAAUAUACACCAAAAGGCUAUCUCGAUAUAAUAAGUCAAAAUAUAAAUAAGUAGGUAUAUUAAAAGGAAACUGGAAUGGCUAUUGCCACAAGACAAGAAACUAAAGACUCUUGAACCUGGACUAGAAGCAAUAAAGGAGUUGACAAGAGUGAAGAAGCCUUCACUCUUGUCUCUAUAUAUACUAUCUAACUUGGGGCUACGUGGCGACGUUCUAUAGGACCUCCAAUAUGUGUUGACUUUGUAGGACACAUGCCUUGACUUACAAGGCAAGUUUUUCUACGUGUGGGCCACAUAGUUAGCUUGAUCUUCAAGCUAACAACGUGUGUGGCACAUGGCCAACUUGUUGACCACGUUUCUAAUCCAAAAAGUCAAUUAAAGACACCUAUGAAGUCAAAGCAGCGUCUAGGAAGUUUUUAGGAAGCUUCUAUAUUAAAUAUUAUACAAUUAACUUACUUUUAUCUACUUUUACUUACUUCUACCUAUUUCUAUAUGUAAUUAUUAGCUUACAUGAUUAUGGCCGUGACACUACGUGUUCUUCAAGCUCAUCAUGAUUUUUUAGUAGUAGGACAUUUUGAAUACAAUAAAACUUUAGAACUAAUAUCCAUGGACUUUUGGUGGCCUCAAAUGUGGAAAGCAAUCAACGAUUUUGUACAAUCUUGUCAUGUUUUUUUGAGAUCAAAAACUCCUUGUCAUUGACCUUUUGGACUUCUUUGGCCAUUACCCAUUCCAAAACAACCAUGGUCUUUUGUUUCUAUGGAUUUUAUCAUGGACCUUUUAAUCUCAAGUUCUUAUGACUCUAUAUUUGUGAUAGUAGAUCAUUUUAUCAAGAUGGCACAUUUUGUACCAGUUAAAAAAUCUAUCACAUGUGAAAAAAUAACUAAGAUCUUUCUUAAAAAUAUCUAUUGCUACCAUGGAUUAUCCAAGGAUAUAAUAUCAAAUAGGAGAACUCAAUUUGUAUCAAGAUUUUGGCGGACUCUUUUCAAGAUUUUAAAAGUAGAUAUAAAACUAUCUUCAGCAUUCCAUCCUCAAAUUGAUUUACAAACGAAGCAUAUUAAUAAAGUUUUAGAGCAAUAUUAAAGAUGUAUCAUUAACUACUAACAAGAUGAUUGAACAACUCUUUUGCCAAUGGUAGAGUUUAUUUACAACAAUACGGUAUAUUUUUCUAUAAAAAAAAUAUCUUUCUUUACAAAUUAUGAUUAUUAUCCACGACUUGAUACAUUUGACUUUUCAAAAGUUGAUAAUCCUAUUGCAAAAGAUUUGGUAAUUCAUUUGUCAGAGCUACAUACAACAAUGAAGGCAUAGUUAAAAAAAGCUCAUCAACAACAAAAGAUCAAUGCGGAUGUCUAUCAAAAGGAACAACUACCAUUCCACAUGAGUGAUAAGGUAUGGUUACUUUGUCGCAAUUUCAAGAUCACUUGUCCUUGUGAUAAGUAGGACUAUCGAAGGCUUAGACCAUUUUCUAUAUAUAGGUGUAGCAUAUAUAGCAAAAGAUGAUCCUUCUUUUCUACCAUGAAUGAAAGCUUUUGCACCUACUAAUAAAGAUUUGGAUGUAUUGGUCUUACGUAAUUUUACUUUACUAACUCAACCUUGGAUUAUACUAUCAAAAAAGUUAAGAUUACGAGAAAUCUAAUAUAUUUGAGGGUUAUAUUUUUCUAGCUAUGAUAAUCCUAAAAUAAUCAGAUUAGAGGGAGAUUUUAUUAUAUUAAAUACUACUACUCUAUUAUGAUUUUUAAUUGCUACAUCUAAAAGAAUAGUUUCAUGGAUAACAUUUCCAGAAGACAACAAAUGACCAUCUAUAACUUCUACAUGUACAGAUUUAUUUUUCUUCACUAAAAAUAUCUUUUGAUUUUUGGCAAAAUCUUCAUCUAUAAAACAUGUUGAGGCUCCUGAAUCUUACAAGGCAAAGACUUUGUGAUUAUUAGGUUCUAAAUAUACUUCUAUUAUAAAAUAAGGUAAGAGGUCUGAAGAGAGAAUAGACCUUUAACAAAUGUUGCACAUGAUUCUUACUGCAUGGUCCUUAUUAUAGCUGGAGAAAUUCAUUUUUUGACACAUUAUCUUCUUUGGUAAUUGUGCUCCUCAUUUUAUAAUUGUGUUGCUUCUUAAGACAAUGAUGAUUAAUGUGCUUAGCUUCUCCACAAUAUAAACAUAAUCUUUUUUGGCAACGUCGAGUCUUUUCUUGCCUCGUGAGAGGAUUAAAACAUAUCAUAACAAUUUGUAUUGAUUUUGGCUUUGACGAAUACAUUUCAAAAAACUUAGGAGUUUCUGCCAUUACUUGACUUGUUCCUCUCCUAUCAAAUCUUUGUUCUUGAUGCCUUUCAAAUAAAUAAUUAUCGCAUAUAAUGACUUGAGUAAUAAAUUAAUCCAAAGAUUCUACUUUUGGUACUGUUAAUAACAAAUCUUUGAUGCUAUCCUUCAAUCCAUAUCGAAAUUGGUUGAUAAAUGCUUUGUCGUUCCAGUCCACAUUACAAGUGAGGUUUUGGAAUUCGGUAGCAUAUAUAGUGGCUAAUCAUGAUCCUUGCCAUAAAAAUAAAAGCUUCUUCUCUGCUACUCGUUCUCGAUCACUUUCAUCGAAUGUGACCUUAAAUACUUCUAGGAAUGAACUCAAAUCAUAAAGGAGUAAUGAAUCUUUUUCCAUUAAAGGUGCAAAGCAAGAGAGAGCACUUCUUCAUAGUAGUGCGCCUAUGAAUCCAACUUGGAUAAAUCCAUCAAGAUAUUGGAAAGGAUGCAACCUUAGAUAGAGCAUGACUUAUUGCAAAAAUCCUCAAAAUUUUGAUCUUAUUCCAUCAAACUUCUCAGGCAUACUAAUCCUUGUCCUUGUCAUACUUGUAGAAGCAAAACUUCCUAGAUUUGGUUCUGACGAUGAUAUACUUGCUUCUUUCAACUACACAACUUCUUGCCGCAGACUCUAAACUUCUUCUAUAUGCAUAGGCAUAGUACUUCUAUGAUUCACAUUGGAAAUAUGUGAAAUUUCUACUCUUAGAAUGUUGACAAGCUCAUCAAGAUUUGCCAUAGUUGUAAAUCUAUUCUCACAUUUGUUGAAAGUAGCAUCCAUAAUCUUUCCUUCCAUAGACAAUUCAAACAAAUUCAAAAGUAAAAUUAGAGGAGGAUAAUCUGCAACUAUUAAAAACAAAUCUCACAAAGAAGGAUAAUCCACUCUUUUUAAAAAAAAAGAUCAGUGUUAGAAAAUAAUAUUUUUUGAUUGAAGGUAGAUAGUUCGCAAUCUUAAAAAUACUAUAAUAGAAGUGAGGUAAUCCACUCACUUCUAAAAUAAGAUAGAAAAAAUAUGUUGGUACUCAUGGCAAGGUAUCAAGGACAUGAAUCUUGAAAAAAGAGAAUCUUUAAUACAUUUUUCUAUCACUGAAGAGAACUAGAAAGUCACUCAAGAGAUGAUGUAAUAAUAACUAGAAUGGCUAUUGCCAAAAACAAGAAGACUAGAAAUCUUGAAACAAGACUAAGAUUAGAAAGGCGUUGACAAGAGUGAAGAAGGCUUCAUUCUUGCAUCCAUAUAUACUAUCAAACUAAGAGCUACGUGGCGAUAUCUUACAUGACCUUUAACAUGUGUUGACUUUACUAGCCACAUGACUUAUCUUGCAAGGAAAGUUAUCUAUGUAUGCGCCACAUAGUUCGCUUAAUCCACAAGCAACUACAAGGAGAAAACUUGUUCUACAAGCUACCAAUACAUAGUUAGCUUUUUGGUCAAGUUUCUAACCUACAAACACAUCUAAAAUCAAAAUCGCAUCUAUGAAGCUUCUAGGAAGCUUUUCUAUAAGACUUUAUGAAAUUAUUCUAUAUUUAUCUACUUCUAUUUAAUCAUAUAAGUAAUUAUUGAGAUUAAUGUAUAUGUCCAUGACAAAAAGACAAAUAAACUAUCUUCAAAGAAAAUAAAGAUUAGAAUAUGUUGCAAAUAUAAUUUUUCACAUCUUAGAUUUCUUCAACAUAUGAAGAUUGCUCCUCAUAGAACUUGUCUAUUGAAGAAAGAGUAAUAUCAUGGACAUACAUAUUUAUUCUAAUAUUUAUUUAUUUGAUUAAAUUGAAGUAAAUAAAAAUAAAUUUAUUUCAUGAUACCUUCUAUACAAGCUUCAUAAAAGCUUCAUAAACAUUGCUUUGACUUUACAUGUAUUUGUAGUUGAUUCCUAGGUUAGAAAUUUGGUCAACAAAUUAACCAUGUAUUCGUAGCUUGUAGAACAAGUUAACUAUGUGGUACACAUAUAGAAAACUUGCCUUGCGAGUUAAGAUAUGUGUCUUGCAAAGUCAACACAUUUUAGUGGUCUUAUAGGACAUUGCCACAUAGUUCUAAGUUAAAAAUACAUAUGGAGGCAAGAAUGAAGUCUUCUUCACUCUUAUCAACGCCUAUCUUAUCUUUAGUCUUGUUUCAAGACUUUCUAGUCUUCUUAUCUUUGGCAAUAGCCAUUAUAGUUUAAUAUCAUAUCAUCUUUAAAUGAAUUUCUAGUUCUUUUGAGUGACACAAGAGUAUAUUAAGGAUUUCUUCCUUGAAGAUUCAUGUCCUUGAUAUACACUCUAUUAAAACAAAUUUUUAAAAAACAUCUUUUAUAAGCCAAUUUAUCAAGAAUGUCAAAAUCAGGUACAAUGUUAGUUAUGAUAAUGCUAUAAUAUAUAUAAGCAUUGUUUAUUACAAUUUGUGGAAUUCAAUUUGAACAACAAAUUAUAAGAUGCUCAGAUUCAAAAAAUUGAACAAGGAAACAAAUAUUAAACAACUAUAUACAAGAUUGUACAUCUUUAAAUGUGAACUCACCAUAUAUUGGACAAAAAUAAACCUAAUUAUGAGAGAGCUAGUUGAUCAAAUGUUUAAAAUAAUAUAAAAUGUUAAUGCAAAAAGGAAAGAAUGACAACUCACAUGUUAAAAGGAACUAGAGAUGGCAUCGUUAAGGUUAACAGUCUGAACUCCUGCUAGAAAUCUGAACUGAGCAUGAUGCCAGCUUGUGGCCAAAAACAAGUAUGGACGUUAUUAUGCAUGUAUAAAAGGAAAGUGAGAAUUUGCAAAAAGUGAAAUAGGAUAAAAAGAGAACAGACUUAGGAAGUCGUUGAAAGAUAAGUGAAGGCGAGGAUAUUGUAAAGCCCUUCCAAGGGGAAGACAGGAUCGUGAGGAGAAUAUUUUGAAGAUUUUCCAGAACCACGUGUCGACAUCUUCGAACUGCGCUGCGUCUUAUGCGCACUAAUAUGAAUGUGUGAACACGUCCAGGAUCUGCAGCGAAAAAGAACAAAUUCGAAAAGCUGGAACACUGGGUCAAAAGCACGACCGAACCCUGCCACAUUUCCACUCCUCGAUGUUUUACCUUGCAUUGUUUCAUCCAGCCAUGUUUACCAAAACUUCAACUUUCCAUUUGCGAUUGCGUGCUGGUUUUAACUCAUAAUUCAGUGAUCUCAACUGCAUACAGAGCGAGCAUCCUCGACAUACUAUUUUAAGCGUUCAAGUGUGCCCCAUGAAGCCGGUCUGCGCGUGCAAUCGCUACGUGAUGCAUCGCAUGGUUGCUGGUGUCAGCAGCAUUCACCUCGGUGACAAUGUCAAUCAGACACACAUCCCAGCCGACUCGUUCUGUCCUACAUCCAGAACAUGCAAACCAUGAACUCCGCGACUAAUUCCUCAGUUCUUGAUUUGGGUCAGAGAAUAUUGCAACAAGAAGCUUGUGUUUUGGAGACAGACACUAAGAUUGUGCGGUUACGAGGUCUAGAUCUCGCUAACUGUGUGCAGUACUUUGAGGCUGGUCGCUGGUCAACGAUUAAAGGGCAAUGUUAAGUUUGAAUAGAUGUGGAAGGAAAAUAGACGAUCCUUAAGUUUGGAUUAUGUUUAUUGUGAGGAAAAUUACGUGCGAAGUUUUGUAUGUAGAACUGACAAUUGUUUGUUCACAGUGCUUAAACUAAUUGUGCACGUGCUUGACUGUUCAAAGAUUCCUUCUGUAAAAGGCAAUCUGAUCACUGGGUUCACAGUAUUUGUUCACCCAUCGUUAGCACUACAUCUAGUUUAGCCGUCAACCCUGCAUCUGAAGCAUUUAAGUUUUAUUUGGCUUUGUUCAAUAAACAUAUAUCCAACUCCAACCUUACUCCUUUAAUGGACUCUUCUUCACACAUUAAUAUUGUUUAUUGCUAAUGCCACAUUUAUAACAUGUGCUUCACAUCGAAACCAUGUUUCUCCAACGCUCAAAAAAAGUAUUAACAAAGUUCAGAUGUGCACUUUUCACAAAUAAUCGAGGAGAAUAAUAAAUCUACCCACAAUGUGACUUACCCUACAAUGUAAUUGGUAAUUCCACAAGAACAAUGCCCCACCAGCAACAGGCCAUCCCAAGUCAUUUUCUUGAAUUAACAGAUAGAUCAUUGAGGCUGGAAAACCCUCCAUUGCAAUGGAAUUGGGGCCAGCCAUGAGGAGCCCAGCGGCAACAAUUGCCAAACAACAGUGUAACUUGAUUUGAAGCAUCAACAGGUUGUAAAUCUUUGCUGUUUGAAAUAUCAAAAUCCUCGUCAUUAAUCUCCACUAAUGUUAAGCCUCACAUGCCCUAGAAAUGCUAAAUCUAACACUUAUUUUAGUAAAAGUAACAAUUGUAUUAUGGUAUAAGGCAUGUGGUGGUUUGAUUUGAAAUUUAAGUUGAUCAAUUUAAUAUCCUGAUUAAUGCUAAGACUGUGAUCAUCCUAAAUUUAGCAUAGACGUCAAACUAUUUUUGGGGGUGCAAAAAUGUGUCAGUACGGAUCAUCGCUUCGGUGGAACAUCAUGCCUCAUCAGACCAUCCAUUCAUUGCUUCUGUGAAUACCAGAGGAAGUUUCUUCUGGUUCAGCAAGUGGCAUGAGUUCAGAAGUUACUGUUGACGCUUAUCGGGAUACUGACACAUUAUCCACACGCACCAAGCGAGGCCAGUAUGUGGUUGCAUGGUACUGAAAAUGGAACGCAGCUUUUAUCCCGAACUAGAAGACUGAUAAUGCGGACGGCAGAAUGCUCGCCGAGACCACGUCCGGGAUGAUAACUUAAAUGUCAUACACGAGGUGUUCAUGCACUGGAGCUUGCACAGUAUUAAGGUAUUGACCGUUGAUACGGAGCUGUUCGAUACGUCCCCUAAGGCGACGUCUGUCAUUCAAGCAGCAGCCAAGUUACACUUUGCGGAAUUAGUAUCCAAACCAUUCACGAUGACGAUCUGUGUUCUCCAGGCUCUCUACGCAGACUCCAC